CCACUAUACAUGAAAUCAGAUGAGAAUCACAUGUAUAGCAACGCCACAUAGUGGAUUAUAUCAAAACACAUUGAUUUAUUAUAUCGAAAUCAGUAUUAAUUAGAUAACGACUAUGCAACAAUAUCAUUGACGACUAUCAAUAUUUGUCACCGUGUGUAUAAUAAUACGUAUAUUAUUAUCACCAAGAUUAUGCAAUGUAAACCAAAUAGUCGACGUGUUUAUAUAUACUUAGAGAUACAUAUACCUGCUACUACUUUCUUAUUUGUAGGUAGGCACGUACUUUUUGCUAGUAGGUGCUUACAUUAGUCUUGUUGUAAAUAUUUGGUGGUCACAUUGCACUAGUACACAGAAGCUCAAUAUUGGCAGUCUUAGAGAUAUUUACACUAGCGACUUUUAGUGCCGCUGCUGCUAGGUGCUAGUGGAAAUCAUCCUUUUUAUUGACGGUUGUUGUGCAACCGCCAGUGAAAAUAUCAUUUUCACCGACAGCUGUAUUAAACAAACCGCCAGUGGAAAUAACAUUUCCACCGGUAACUUUAUUAUGCAAACCGCCGUCAUUUCCUCGGACACAGCUGUCACACCCGGUUUUAGAAGGCAAACCGAAUGCGAACCAUGUACGUGCCAGGAUCAGUUUUUCACGUACACAGCAGUUACAUAAUAUGGACAUCAUCACACAGUGCUCAAAAUAGUAUUAAUAAGGGAAAUAGUCGAUUACAUCAUACGUCUGAGACGUCCAUAUAGUUCUUACAAUAAAUCAAAGUGCGGAAAAGAAACGUAGAUAACGCGGCCUUCACAGGCAGCCGACUGGGGGUUGCCGCUAACCCACACCUAGAACUCGUCGUAAUCUUGGAACUCCUGGAAGUCUCCUUCCACAGCUUCAUCUUCGCCUGAGCAGUGGUUGCAAUGCUGACAACCUGGGGGGGGGUUUGGUGUGUAGAGCAAGGGUGAGUACACAUCAACAUACUCAGCAAGUAUCCUGUUUGGCUGUAGUGGACUAGCUUUAUGUGGGGAUAAGUCAAGCAGUUGCUUUUAGUUGGUCAGGUUAUUACUUACUAGUAGAAAGCCAAGUUUUAGCAUUAACCCAAGUUAUUAACCCGAUGUACCCUUUCCAAACGGAAAGAAUACCACUUACCAGCAUCAUAGUCAUAACCAGAAUCAACAGUCUCAUAACCACCUGUACCACAAUGUCUCUGAUCAAGUAUCACUAAUCACUGGAGCUCCCUUGGCCGCUCAUAACCGCGAGCACGGCUGAUAUAUCAGUUUCAUAACACUCUGCAGAGGUUGUGCACUUUACCCACAAGCCGUGAUUCCCAUUCUGCCCGGAGAUCAUGACUCUCCAUUGAUCACUACCAAGGUGAUCCAGCAGGGCAUCACUACGAAGCCUUUACAAAGAUUCCCCGGGGCUGUAGCCACCCGUUAGGUUUCCUAAAUGCACCGCACUCCUCCCCAAGGGGCGAACCCAAACUUGGCAGAGCGAGCCGCAUACACCGAGCCCCAUUGACGGCACGACGGCUAAGUGAACUACACCCCGGAUCCUCUAAUUAUUCAGCUAAGGGCACCCCAUUCCACCCUCAUGGUUGCACUGUUUUCCCGGGCGGUCAUCCAUAGAACAGGUCCUUACGGAGAGGCACUCGAGAAACCGCUCGAGUCCCCUUGAAAAACCACAAGUAUAAUCAUAAAGAAGAACGGGAAAACAGCGUAUCAUAGAUAAUCACAUCAUGUUCAUUGAUUAGAGUUGAGCAAUAGCAUCAGACUAAGUAGUAAUAAUCCGACCCAAAUAGGUAAACAAGGACAUGGAUAACAAAAAGCUAGUCAAUCCUUAGGUAUAAAUGUGUAAUGCGGGAGGUGAAUUAAAGAAUGAAUAGGACAUAGAUAGGUCAAAGGACACUUGCCUCCACCAAACGACUGCUGCUCAGGGGCUUCUCCUGCGAAUUCCUCGGGCUCUUCGACCGGAUCGUUCUCUAUGCGAGCGCAAACAUACAUACAUACAUCCACAUAUUUAAUACAAAAGAACAGUACACCAUACAAGAUAACAAAUAAAGCGAAUAUGCAUCAAGUAUGACAUUCGAUAACGCAUUUGUUAUGGUCAGAAAGAAACGGGAAAGGUCUCGCAGGGGGUUAAAUCUUAUGCACUAAUGACACAAUUGGUUUUUAACAAAAGAAUUCUGUUACAUAUACACUAAUGGAAACCUAAUCACUUUUAAUUGAUCAACAUUGCACAGGGUAAACAAUUAACUACGUGCAUCAAUAGCAUAACGGAAUUUUAAAUUAAACUUCCUAUUUUCCCAUAGCAUGAACAGUGAUUAGCCUACUUAAAAUACAGUAAUUAUGAUCACAGAAAGUAAAUAAAAUAAAAUAAAAAUAAAUAAAAAAAAAGAAAAAAGGGGGGGGGCGGUUGAACCGGCCCUAGGGCGGUUGAACCGGCCCUAGGCGGGGCGCGGGCGCGGGCGGCCGAACCGGCGGGGCAGGGGGCGGCGCAGGGGGCGGCCGAGCCGGGGGGCGGGGCGGCCGAACCGGCGGGCAGGGAGGCGGCCGAACCGGCCAUGGGGAAAGAGGAGAGGGGAUGGGGGAGAGAGGAGAGGGGGAGGGGGAGCUCACCGGGGAGGGGCGCGACGGCGAGGGGCGGCCGGCGGCAGGGGCGGCUGAGGGCGGCGGUUGGGCAGGGGGCGGCGGCGGCUUAGGGCAGGGGUAGGGGCGGCGGCUUAGGGAGAGGGAGAGAAAAUGAGAGAAAAUGAGAGGGAGAGGGAGAGGGUUUGGGGAAAAAGGGGAGGUGGGGGGGGGCGGUUGGGCCUAUUGGGCCCAGGGGGGGGGUGCGCAGGGGCCUGGGCCGGCCGGGGUCGGCCCACGGCGCGGGAGAGAGAAAAAAAAAAGGAGGAGAGAGAAAGAGAGAGAGAAAAGAGAAAGAAAAGAGAAAGAAAACAUUUUCGAAAUCCGAUCUUUCUACAUGAAUGCAAUUGCACUUUCAAAGCAAUCAAAAGAAAUGCAAGGUUCGGCAUGGUGCAUCAAACAACAUAAAGUAUUUAGGGUUUUUUCUUACACGGGAAUUCCAAACCGAAUCCCGCUAGAACUUUGGAAAAGGUCAAGGUUUAGCGAGGGAAAAAGAAAAGGGAAAGGUAACGCCCGAAUUUUGGCGAGUAAAGAAAAGAAAAAAAUUCAACUGCAAAAUUCGGGGCGUUACAAACCUAUCCCCCUUAAAAGAAUCUCGCCCUCGAGAUUCAGGGCUGGCUAGCAAAGAGCUCCGGGUACUUGGCCAUCAGAUCAUCUUCACGCUCCCAGGUUGCUUCUUCCUCAGAGUGGUGACUCCAUCUGACUUUGCACAUUCUGACGGUCUUCCUUCGGGUGACUCUAUCUGCAACCUCAAGGAUCUGAGCUGGCUUCUCAACGUAGGUCAAGUCCUCCUGGACUUCAAGACCUUCCACUGGCAACUGCUCUUCUGGCACACGCAAGCACUUCUUCAACUGAGACACAUGAAAGACAUCAUGCACAGCAGACAAAUUCUCUGGCAAACUGAGCUGAUAAGCCACUUCUCCACGUCUUGCAAGAAUCUGAUACGGACCAAUGUAGCGGGGUGCUAGCUUGCCUUUCACUCCGAAUCUUCUGACUCCUCUGAUCGGUGACACUUUCAGAUAAACAAAGUCUCCGACUUCGAAACUCAGCUCUCUUCUUCUUGUGUCUGCAUAGCUUCGCUGCCUUGAUUGCGCUAUCUUCAGAUUCUCUCGGACCAUCUUGAUGUUCUCUUCGGCUUCAAGCAAAAUAUCUGGCCCAAACACUUGCUUCUCUCCAGGUUGAUCCCAUUGCAACGGAGUUCUACAACUCCUUCCAUAAAGCGCUUGAAACGGUGACAUCUUCAAACUGGCCUGAUAACUGUUGUUAUAGGAAAACUCUGCAUAAGGCAAUCUCUUAUCCCAUCCGGACUGAUCUUGCAACGCACAGGCUCUCAACAUAUCUUCAAGAAUUUGAUUGGUUCUUUCAGUCUGACCAUCUGUCUGCGGGUGAUAAGCUGAACUGAAAUUCAGAUGCGUGCCCAAGGCUUCAUGCAACUGCUGCCAGAAAUGAGAGGUGAACUGCGUUCCUCUGUCUGACACUAUCUUCUUUGGCACACCAUGAAGACAAACGAUCCGAGACAUAUACAAUUCUGCCAAUACUGCACUGUUGUAAUUGGUCUUGACAGGUAUGAAGUGGGCUGACUUGGUCAAGCGGUCCACUACUACCCAAAUGGAAUCGUAGCCGGCUCGAGUGCGAGGCAAUCCGACUAUGAAAUCCAUGCCAAUUUCAUCCCAUUUCCACUGAGGGAUCUGCAACGGUUGCAACAAUCCAGCUGGUCUCUGGUGUUCUGCCUUAAUUCUUCGACAACUAUCGCACAUAGCCACAUGCUCUGCGAUUUCUCUUUUCAUUCCGUACCACCAGAAUUUCUUCUUCAGAUCCUGAUACAUCUUCUCACUGCCAGGGUGAAUCGAAUAAGCUGUCUCAUGAGCUUCCUUAAGAAUCAACUCCCGAAUAGACUGGACAUUGGGAACACACAAGCGGUCUUUGAACCAUACCACUCCUUCUGCAUCUUCUCGAAAAUCUUUGCCUCUGCCAUCUAGAAUCAAUCGCCGAAUCUCACUGAUCUUUUCAUCAUUCUUCUGCGCUUCUUUGAUUUCGCGCUCCAAGGUAGGUUCCAACUCAACUGUGACUCCUCGCGAAUUAUUCAGAAAUCCGAGACUCAACCUGUCAAACUCCUUGGCCAACUCAUAAGGCAUCGGACGAGCGACCAUCAGAUUGACUUGACUCUUUCUGCUCAAAGCAUCUGCCACUACGUUUGCUUUGCCUGGAUGGUAAUGAAUCUCCAACUCAUAGUCUUUGAUCAAUUCUAACCAUCUUCGUUGCCUCAUGUUCAAUUCUGACUGAGUGAAUAUGUACUUCAGACUCUUGUGGUCUGUGUAAACAUCGCAUUUCUGUCCAUACAGAUAGUGCCUCCAUGUCUUCAGUGCGUGAACCACUGCUGCCAACUCUAGAUCAUGGAUUGGGUAAUUCUUCUCAUGAACCUUCAGCUGUCGGGACGAGUAAGCCACAACUCUUCCCUCUUGCAUCAACACACAUCCCAAACCUGUGUAACAAGCAUCACAAUACACCGAGAAAGGCUUGUGCACAUCAGGCAAGACUAGGACAGGCGCUGUUGUCAACUUCUCUUUCAGCGCUUCAAAGGCCUCUUGGCAUUUCUGGGUCCACUUGAACUCAACCUUGUUGCCUAGCAACGCUGUCAUUGGCUUCGCAAUCUUCGAAAACCCUUCAAUGAAUCGCCGAUAAUAUCCGGCCAUUCCAAUGAAACUCUUGAUUCCUCUAGCAUCUGUUGGCGCUUUCCAGUUUAGAAUGUCUGCCACUUUCUUCGGAUCCACUGCCAAUCCUUCUUUGUUGAUUAUGUGACCCAAGAACAGGACUUCACUGAUCCAGAACUCACACUUGCUCAACUUUGCAUACAACUGGUGCUCUCGCAAUCUCUGCAACACCAUCCUCAAAUGAUCCGCAUGCUCUUCUUCGCUUUGAGAAUAAACCAGAAUGUCAUCAAUGAAUACCACCACAAACUUAUCAAGAUAAUCCAUGAAUACACUGUUCAUCAAGUUCAUAAAGAAUGCUGGCGCAUUGGUCAAACCAAAAGACAUCACUGUGAACUCAUAUAAACCAUACUUGGUAAUGAAUGCCGUCUUCGGAAUGUCCGAAGGUCGGAUCCUGAGCUGAUGAUAACCUGACCUCAGAUCGAUCUUGGAGAACACACUGGCUCCUCUCAACUGGUCGAACAGAUCUUCUAUUCUGGGCAAAGGAUACUUGUUCUUGAUCGUGACUUCAUUCAAAGCUCGAUAAUCGAUACACAUCCUCUUAGUACCAUCUUUCUUCUCCACAAACAAGACAGGGGCGGCCCAAGGCGAGGUGCUUGGCCGGAUGUAACCUUUCUCUGACAGCUCAUCAAUCUGCUUCUUAAGCUCAACCAACUCUGGUCCAGAUAUUCUGUAAGCUCUCUUAGAGAUGGGGGCGGUUCCAGGAAGAAGCUCUAUAGCAAAUUCAACUUUCCGCUCUGGUGGCAUACCCGGUAAAUCCUUUGGAAACACAUCUGGGAAUUCAGACACAACCUUAAUACUCUCAAUUGGGUCUGCUUCACUGCUAUCGACAGCCAUCUGAUAACAACUUCCUUUCUUCGGCUCAGGCGGGACUAACUCGGUCACCACUUCCUCUCCUAGUGGGGACACCAACUUUAUUGUCCUUUUAUCACAACUGAUAACUGCCUGAUACUUAUCUAACCAAUUCAUCCCUAGGAUGACAUCUAUUCCCUGAGUACCCAUUACUAUAAGGUUGGCGGGAAACGCUAUCCCCCUUAUUUCCACACUUACAUUUAAACAAAUGCUAUCAGCUCGAAUUCUACCACCAGCUGAGUCAAUUUGAAUGGGGGUUAACAUGGUAGUAGUUGGAAGAUUAUGUGCUUCUACCCAUGAUGCAGUAAUGAAAGAAUGUGUUGCUCCAGUAUCAAAUAACACUUCUGCAAUAUGGGAAUCGACUGGGAACAUACCUACUAUCAUGCCGGGGGUCUCCUGAACUGCUUCAGCCUCCAAGUGAUUCAAUCUUCCAUGAUUAUAGCGCUGCUGAGAGCGAUUGCCUGCUCCAGGCUGAGACACAUUCUGCUUUGCUGGGGCAUUGGGGCCUGACUGCUGCUGGGCUGCCUUCUUCGGACAUUGCAUCACCCAGUGGCCCUGCUCUCCACAGUGGAAACAUGCCCUGUUUCCAACUUGAGCUGGUGUUGCCUGACUGUUCUGCUGAUUUGCUGGGGCAGGAAGACGAGGUGCUUGCUGACCCUGCUUCUGAAACUGACCUCCUGACUGAUUGCUCUGACGGUUCUGGUACUGAUUCUGAGGGUACUGCCUUUGAAACUGCUGAUACUGCUGACGCUGCUGAUGCUGCUGAGGUGGACGCUGGUUCUGCCUGAACUGCUGAGGUUGAUUGCCUGAGAAACGGGGACGGCUGCUGCUUCCAGGCUGGGGUCCACUGAUCUUGCGCUUACGAUCUUCCAUCUCCUUGCGCUUCCUUUCUGUCAUGAUUGCUCUGUCAAUCAGGUGCUGGAAUGUCGGGAAGGUGUGAUUCAUCAGUUGAUACUGCAGAGGGUCAACCAAGCCUCUCAGAAAACGGUACUGUCGCUUGGCAUCGGUGUUGACAUCUUCAGGAGCGUAGCGAGACAAUUGCAGAAACCUGUCUCGAUACUCACUGACAGAUGAUGACCCUUGCUUAAGGGCCAGGAACUCCUCCUUCUUCACUGUCAUCAGACCUGCAGGCACAUGGUACUGACGAAAGCUAUCUCUGAAUUCUUCCCAGGUGAUGGCGUCGGGGUUGGCAUGGGUGGCGAGGUAAGACUCCCACCAUGACUGGGCUGCUCCUCUCAACAGACGGGGACCAUACAGAACUUUCUCUCUGUCAUCGCACUGAGCGGUAUGCAACUCCCGCUCCACAGUGCGCAGCCAAUCUUCAGCAUCCAUGGGGUCAGAAGAGUGAGCGAACGUUGGUGGAUGACCUCUCAUGAAUUCGGCACGCUUGUCUCUAGGCAUCUGAGGCAUCUGAGGCUGGGGUGGUGCUUGCUGCUGUUGCUGCUGCUGCUGCUGCUGAAUGGCGGCCAAAGUCUGACCGAUGGCUUGAACUGCCUGAGUCUGCAUCAGAAACAUCUGCUCAAUCGACAUCGGGGGCGGGGGCGGCAGGUGCUGCUGCUGGGGCACCUCAUCCUGCGGAGCGGCUCGCUCCUGCUGAGCACGCCUUCCUCCUCUACGCCUGUUCUCUGACAUCUGCAGAAUGCAACCACACAUCAGAACUGAUCUGGCAAAGCUUGCAGCAUAAGAAAAGAGUAUAGAAUUCUCCAACAGCACUGAACAGAUGAGCAUCUUCACUGAUCUCCAACACAGACCACACAGCUUCUCAGAUAAAGAGGAAAGGAGAAUAAUGGGUUUCCCAACUAUAUAACUAACUUUAUUGACAUAGUAUGUAAACCAAAAUGCAGGGGAUACCCACACUCUGGUGACAAUCAUUACAAAGAUCCAAACCAGACAUAGUCCAUCAUGACAAACAUAAAUGCACAUAUUUAAUACAAAAGAACAGUACACCAUACAAGAUAACAAAUAAAGCGAAUAUGCAUCAAGUAUGACAUUCGAUAACGCAUUUGUUAUGGUCAGAAAGAAACGGGAAAGGUCUCGCAGGGGGUUAAAUCUUAUGCACUAAUGACACAAUUGGUUUUUAACAAAAGAAUUCUGUUACAUAUACACUAAUGGAAACCUAAUCACUUUUAAUUGAUCAACAUUGCACAGGGUAAACAAUUAACUACGUGCAUCAAUAGCAUAACGGAAUUUUAAAUUAAACUUCCUAUUUUCCCAUAGCAUGAACAGUGAUUAGCCUACUUAAAAUACAGUAAUUAUGAUCACAGAAAGUAAAUAAAAUAAAAUAAAAAUAAAUAAAUAAAAAGAAAAAAGGGGGGGCGGUUGAACCGGCCCUAGGGCGGUUGAACCGGCCCUAGGCGGGGCGCGGGCGCGGGCGGCCGAACCGGCGGGGCAGGGGGCGGCGCAGGGGCGGCCGAGCCGGGGGCGGGGCGGCCGAACCGGCGGGCAGGGAGGCGGCCGAACCGGCCAUGGGGAAAGAGGAGAGGGGAUGGGGGAGAGAGGAGAGGGGGAGGGGGAGCUCACCGGGGAGGGGCGCGACGGCGAGGGGCGGCCGGCGGCAGGGGCGGCCGAGGGCGGCGGUUGGGCAGGGGGCGGCGGCGGCUUAGGGCAGGGGUAGGGGCGGCGGCUUAGGGAGAGGGAGAGAAAAUGAGAGAAAAUGAGAGGGAGAGGGAGAGGGUUUGGGGAAAAAGGGGAGGUGGGGGGGGGGGCGGUUGGGCCUAUUGGGCCCAGGGGGGGGUGCGCAGGGGCCUGGGCCGGCCGGGGUCGGCCCACGGCGCGGGAGAGAGAAAAAAAAAGGAGGAGAGAGAAAGAGAGAGAGAAAAGAGAAAGAAAAGAGAAAGAAAACAUUUUCGAAAUCCGAUCUUUCUACAUGAAUGCAAUUGCACUUUCAAAGCAAUCAAAAGAAAUGCAAGGUUCGGCAUGGUGCAUCAAACAACAUAAAGUAUUUAGGGUUUUUUCUUACACGGGAAUUCCAAACCGAAUCCCGCUAGAACUUUGGAAAAGGUCAAGGUUUAGCGAGGGAAAAAGAAAAGGGAAAGGUAACGCCCGAAUUUUGGCGAGUAAAGAAAAGAAAAAAAUUCAACUGCAAAAUUCGGGGCGUUACAACAGCUCUAUGUAAUUGUUGUGUACAUGAAUUGCUGAUCCUAACACGGAUAUGGUUCGCAUUCGGUUUGCCUUCUAAAACCGGGUGUGACAGUACCGUCGUGUAUUGAUUUUUAACGCGCAUAAGAAUAUUGUGCUUGCUUUUUGGGUUUUGACAUGGUGGUUAGGUAGCAACGGUGCAUAAUUAUAUAUGAAGUAUAGUUUUGGGAGACUUUAUCAAAUACUAACUUUCAUGUGGUUUUUAUGUAAAUCUUGGUGAAUUAUAAGGUAUAAGCCCAAAUAAUACUCGUUAUUAAAAUUGGAAUGCAUCAAAGUGCCAAACAUUGGACCGUAAGUAAGGAAUUAUUCGUUAGUAUAUAUUGCAUAUGUACCUUGUCCAUUUUUAUUACUCAUGUGAUCGAAAGCGGUGGUCCAUUGACGGGUGGAUUGUAUUGAAAGUUGUGGCAACAUUAAUCGAAGGAAGGGAUGGUGGAUACUACUAGUAUUGGGAAGUUUUGCCAUAAGUGUGACAAGUAGACCUUCAAGAUUUCCCAUAACAUAAUUGCCCUUAAAAAGACUAUAAUAUAUAAUCACAUCUCUAGGCAAUCGAUAAUAAACAUGAGACAUAAUUAUUUAUUAUUAAAUAUAUUGAUUAACACAAUCACUGAAGUACAAGUAGAGCCAUCACACACGUACAUAUUUUAAACCAACCAUGCAAGGAACUUUAGAUAUCACACUCGCUCGCAGUAUUCAAAUCAAAUUUGUGCGUAAUCCAUCAAGGCGUAAUAAAAUUGAAGGCUUGGCAUUAUGGAUAGAUGAUGUUUAUAAACAUCCUUAACAGGAAUUUCAAAAAUGAAAUCCGGAGAACUUGACCGAAGGUGCAUUGUAUGGCAUAAUUGAAGACCUAUGCACAUUCGUAUUGAAAGAGGUCAUUCCCGCUGAAGGGAAAUGUCAUGAUGCUUCCAGUACAUUAGCUAUGCCAGAGUUUAGAAUACUAACAGAAGUUAGUAGACUAUCUCUUAGACGAGAUAGUUAUCAGAGCUUAGGUGAAAAAUUUCGAUGUAUAGAAUGUGUGAAGCUUAUAUGGUUGUAAACAAAAGACUUUGAUGUAUAGAAUGUAUGAUAGAAUUUAAUUCCAUGUUGCUUUCAAUAUGUGUGCGUGUGUGUAAAUAAAUAUAAAAAUCAGUUUUGUUUGAAAAUUUCAAAAAAGUCGGGAAAACUUAUACUGGCGAGAAAUACUAAGGAAACCACCAGUGAAAAGAACAAUUCCACUUGCGAUUUUAUUAAGAAAACUGCCCAUGAAAAUAACUUUUGCACUGGCGAUUUGCUUAAUACAGCUGCCAGUGGAAAUAACAUUUCUACUGGCAGCUGUAUUAAGCAAACCACAAGUGGAAAUAACAUUUCCACUAGCGCUUUAUUAAGCAAACCGCCUGGCGGCUUUAUUAAGCAAACCGCUAGUGGAAAUAAACUUCCACCGGCGGUUUGCUCAGCCGCUAGUGGAAAUGCUAUUUUCACUAGCCGCUGCAAAACAACUGCCAGUGAAAACGCCGAUUUCCACUAGCCUGUAACACGAGUGGCACUAGAAAAUGCCAGUGCAAAUAGCUCUAGGACCGCCACUAUAGAGCUUCUGCGUACUAGUGCAAUCCGACCACUAAAUAUUUACUACAAGACUGAUGUAAGCACCUACUAGCAAAAAUAUGUGCCUACCUACAAAUAAGAAAGUAGUAGCAUGUAUAUGUAUCUCUAAAUAUAUAUAAACACGUCGACUAUUUGGUUUACAUUGCAUCAUCUCGGUGAUAAUAAUAUAUGUAUUAUUAUACACACGGUGACAAAUAUUGAUAGUCGUCAAUGAUACUGUUGCAUAGUGGUUAUCUAAUAAAUACUGGUUUUGAUAUAAAAAAUCAAUGUGUUAUGAUAUAAUCCAUUGUGUGACAUUGCUAUACAUGUGAUUCUCAUCCGAUUUCAUGUAUAGUGGAACAUCUGGUUUUGUCCUUAGAACCGGGUGUGACAUACUUCACAGGCGGCCACAUACUUAGAAACGUCAACCUUCAUCCGCUUCCACCAGAAGUUUUGCUUCAGAUCUCGGUACAUUUUGGUUUCGCCAGGGUGAACGGUGUAAGGCAUUUUAUGAGCUUCUCCCAAGAUAUCCAUCUUCACCUAUGAUUUCUGAGGCACACAAAGGCGGCCCCUAAAACGAACCAAAUCAUUCUCAUCAAUGGAGAACUCCCGGGGUUAACCAUCGCCAACCCUCUUUCGAGCUUCGUGCAAUAAAUGAUCCUGCUGCUGAGCUGCACACACUCUUUCCAUGAGGGAAGAUUGAAUAAGCAUACAAGUCUCCUCACUAGCGGUGCCGACAUAGCACAAAGCGAUCCCCAAACGGUCCAGAUCAGCGAUCAACGGCAAGGCCACUUUUGGAACCCCGGACCUGCUAAGGGCAUCAUCCACCACAUUUGCCUUCCCCAGGUGAUAUUGAAUGGACAAAUCAUAAUCUUUAAUCAAUUCGAGCCAUCAACGCUGCCUCAAAUUUAGCUCCUUCUGAGUGAAAAUAUACUUGAGACUUUUAUGAUCGGUGUAAAUGUCACAAGCCUCGCCAUAAAGAUAAUGCCUCCACGACUUUAGAGCAAAAACCAUCACGACCAAUUCAAGAUCAUGAGUUGGAUAAGCAAUCACUUUGCCUUCCUGCAUCAACACACAGCCAAGACCAAUUCGCGAAGCAUUCAUAUAAACUGUGAAACGCUUACCGCUCUCUAGCAAAGCUAGGAUAGGGGCGUCCACCAACUUGUUCUUCAAUGUCUGAUAACUGACCUCACAAUCGUUGGACCAGACGAAGAGAACACCCUUCUCCAAGAGUCUAGUCAAAGGCUUAGAAAUGCUGGAAAAAUUUGGUACGAAGCGCCGAUAAUAUCCAGCGAGCCCCAAGAAACUUCGGAUUUCAGAGACACUAGAGGGUCUCUUCCACUCCACCACAGCCGCAACAUUUUUGGGAUCAACCGCAAUGCCCUGCUGAUUAAUCACAUGCCCCAGGAAAGCCACUUCGGACAGCCAAAAGGCACACUUCUUUAACUUGCCAUAUAACUGAUUCUUCCUAAGGGCACCCAGAACGAGACGGAGAUGCUGCUCAUGCUCAGCCCGGUCUUUGAAUAAAUCAUAAUAUCAUCCAGGAACAUGACCACAAAGUCAUCCAAGAACUCAUGCAACAUCCUAUUCAUUGCUUCCAUAAAAGCAGCAGGGGCAUUAGUUAAGUCAAACGGCAUGACUAUGAACUCAUAAUGCCCAUACCUGGUGCAAAAAGCGGUCUUCUCAAUAUCCUCCUCACGAAUCCUCAAUUGAUGAUAACCAGAGUUCAAAUCAAUUUUGGAGAACACCUGGGCACCCCUCAACUGUUCAAAGAGAACCUCAAUACGGGGUAGCGGAUAAUUAUUCUUGAUUGUCACUUGAUUCAAAGCGCGAUAAUCCACACAUAGCCUCUUGCUUUUAUCCUUCUUCUCAACAAACAAUACUGGGGAAGCCCAUGGAGACCUGCUAGGCCUAAUGAAACCCUUAGCCAGCAGAUCAUCCAAUUGUCGCUUCAAUUCAACCUGCUCCUUUGGGCCCAUCUGAUAUGGGGCCUUAUGAAUAGGCUGCGUACCCAAAAUCAGCUUGAUCUCAAAAGUUGCAUCGCGCUCCGGAGGAAUGCCUGGAAGCUCUGCUGGAAACACGUCGGCAAAGUCACACACCACCCGGAUGUCCUGCACCCGCAAGGCAGCCUCACCCUCCACCACCAUGGAGAAAAAGAUUCACGACUUCCUUGACCGGCAAUCCAGAAGCAAUUGCGCCAACAAGGAUAACGUGAACUUUGGGGAACUUCCCAAGAAUACCACCUCCCUACCCGAUGGCGCCUGCAAUAACAGUGUCUUCCAAAAACAGGAUAUGACUGCGCGAUACUGAGAUAACUAAUCCAUACCCAAGAUAACAUUGAAUGCCCCCAAGGAAAUCACAACAAGAUUGGCCGAAAAGACCUCAUCAGCAAGAAUGACGGAACACCCCUGACAAAUUGAACAGCUACUAAUGGAGCCAUUAGCAGAACUAACCAAAAUUGGGGACCCAACCUCUGCACCGAAAGACCAGCCCGCGACACAAAAUUCUCUGAAACAAACGAAUAGCUAGCGCCAGAGUCAAAAAAAGCAUGGGCCACAAACGAAUCAACUGAAAUCGUACCUGUCACCACGUCUCCUUGCUCUCUGCCAUCCGCAGCGGGUAGCACAUAAGCUCAGGAAAUACCCGCAGGAGAGGAAGCUCUUGGAGUGAAAUUAACAAAAGAACCCCACUAAGCCAUUGGGUGAGGCAGACGCGGAGCUCCAAACUGAGACGACAUAGGAGUAGUCGGUGCAGGAGUAGGUGCAGCCAGAUACUUAGGAAAACCCUGCAUCGGCAUGAACUGAGCAGUCCCAGGCACAUAAAACUGCUGCGGAGGAAGUGGAACUGAAAAUUGCUGCUCAGCGCUUGACAUCAUGUGUGAGAGUGCCCUGAGAAGAGGAGGAAGUCACUGGCUCCCAUCUGAGCUUCCUAUUGGGAUUCCUCCUACACACCACAUCCUUGUGGUCUUGACUGCAGAUUGAACACCUGCCAUUCCACUGGCACUCUGCACGACGAUGCGCAUCACCACAACCGAAACACACUAGACCCAGCCCGGGCUUAGGAACAGCCCAAAACCUCUGAGUACUUCCUCCUGAAGUACCCGAGUCAGAAGAUUUGCCACGAUAGGGAUGGUGGCGCUGAUGCUGAGACUUUCCCCUCUUGUGGGCUGGACCUCCAGUGUUGCCCCUCCUCGCGUCCUGGCCACGAGGCUGAUCAACACCCGAAGACUUCUGCAACUCCAUGGUAUACUGGUGUUGCAUCUCCACACCCAGUGCCUGCUCCACUGUAGUACGGAAGUCCACCAACGGAAAGGCUCCCAGUGCAUGCCUGAUAGAAGGUUUCAGACCCUGAUGGAACUGGCUCGCCUUCUCCAUCUCAUUAUAAGCCACAUGAGGGACAAAACGGACCAUCUUGUUGAAGCCCACUUCAUACUCUGUGACCGACUUCUUCUCUUGCUUGUAGGACUGCAAAUCAAUCUUCAUUUUCUCCAGGAAGGUGACCGGGUAGAACGUCCUCUCAAACUGCCUGAUAAAAACAUCCCAAGACAGGACUCCUCGUGAAGAGGAGUGAGCUGCCUGGACGCCCCUCCACCAAAUCUGAGCUUCUCCCUUCAGCAGCUGUGUGCCAAAGCAAACACGAUCACCAUACACAAUCUCGAAGACAUUCAUCUUAUCCUCCACGUAAGUUAGCCAAUCCGUCGCCUCGACCGGAGUACCACUGCCAUCAAAAGUAUCCAACUUCAUGCCCAUCCACUACAUCAGAGAAAGACCACUGACUGGAAGAGGCACCUCAACCCCGCCACCUGGAGCAGCAUCCGCAGGGACAGUGCCCCCGAGCACUCCUCCACCACCAGCACCCUGAGCAGCACCCGCAGGGGCAACAGGAAUAGCUUGCCUCAGAAUGGCCAACUCCUGCUGCAUGGCCUGCAUCGCGGCUAACAUUGCCGCCGGACUCAUCGAGUCCCCACUAGGAACUUGCGGACUGCCCCGAGCCCUACGAGGCAACAUAGCUGCAGCCAUAGGGGUGCGAAUAAUAAGUAAAUAAGAUUGGCAUAACAUCUCAACAGAUAAUGUCAAACUAGCACAGACAAUAACAUAACAUAUCAAUAGUAAAGCAGAAAACCCAUCCUACAUUUGCAGUGUGUCAAUUUAUUAUUAUUCCACUUGCUAGGACCUACAACAUAUUCCUCUGAUACCAACUAUAACACCCCACUGAUCCCACACAAUGGAUGUUACCAAAUACCCUUCCCACAAAACUGAUGCAACACAAGAAAAGAAAUAGAGAAAGUAUUGCAAAAUCCGGCAGCACCUCCCUUGAAAGAAGCAUAACAAGGGGAACAUAGAUUUUAUACAGGAUAUAAAAGAAAGAUAAUUCACAUAGUAUAAUCGAAAUGCAACGGUAGAAAUGAACAUUCAUGACCAAAUAAAAGAUAGGUAAUUCAGCCCACCAAAAAAAAAACAGUUCAACUACAUGAAAGGCUAGAGUAUAAUAAUCCCCUAGACUUGACCCUCCCUAUUUAACAUCAUUAUUAAGCAGUGGUUCCUUUAUUUAAAGGUGUAGUGGCCGUGUUGAUACAUCCAUUCUUUCCCAAAGCAAAGAUCAGGUGCCUGCAUCAGACAAUGCAAGAGUGAGAUGACACAUCUCAGCAAGUAAAAAAAAGCAAACAACAAUUGGACAAUGUAAACCAACCGUGCCUAAACAACCACGUAGUUCACAACUUCUUUCUUAAAUAUUAAUUUGCAGCAAGUAAGCAAGUAACCAAGUACUUAAUGCCAUGAUGAAUCACAAAGUAAAGAUCCACACUAUCCACAUCACCAUAAUAGGUUCCACACUUCUCCCAUGAAUGCACAUGGCUACAGAUGCAGUAAUGACUUCUGUCUUCAUACCUCUAAGGAUAUGAAGCUGCAUCAUACCCCUUCUCGGGCAACAUAUGAUGCUCAUUUUACCGGUACGGUCGAACCAUAAGAUCGCGACGAAACUUCCAUGCAAUGGAUGAUGAAUGCAUUAUGCAUGUCAACAACAUAAGUCCUUCGCAAAUAAAAUGUGCUAGACAUAUACUUCCACCCAUUCCACAUAAUAAACCACAUGGGUAACAUGAUCAAACCACAACCUCAACAUAUGUAAUCAAUAAAACAUGAAUAUCUUCAAACAAUGGUACCCAAUUAAAAUUAUGACAACAGUUGAUGCGUCACGAUGCCCGAUCUUCACGACGUAGGAUCAAUCUUCAGAUAACUAGCUUCAAAGAAGCCAAGAUAACUUGCUGCAAGCAGCGAUAACUAGUGCAACCUGACAAAUAAAACUCGAAGCCAACCACCGUCUUUAACCGGCAGCCUGAAUCGAGGAUUCGCCCAACCACACUCUCAAAGAACCAACCAACACAGCCUAUAAUCAAUUGAGGAGACCUCGAAGGCAGUAGGAGCACCACUUGGGAGCGGAUGAAGCCGCUGCUUCUGCAAUCCCGCGAAGGAAUUCACAAGAGCAAAGGGGUAGAGAUCACUCUCAAUAUUUGUUAGCACACACGUGAACAAAGGGUUCUGUUUUUAGAUUAUCAUAUGCUGCCUUACAUCAUAGACAUAUGGGGGUAUUUAUACUAGUAACAACCAGCCUUAGCGAGGUAUAAACACAAAACAAAAGUAUUUUCACGUGCUAAUGUGAAGGAGCCUCUUCGGGAGAUCUGCAGAGCUGAUUUCCGUGUGGCUGUUUGACUUCUGCGCAGCCUUCAGUAUUUUGACAAUAACUUCUUCUAGGAAUCUUCAAAUGACGUGGGGUUGGAUGCGUUGGAAAGCUGACUUGAUAAGCUUUCUCACCAUAUAUAGCAUGCUUAAUGAAACUUCGUAGAAUGAUGCAGUUUAAUACGAAAACAUGGUCAUCAAGUAGACUGUUGACCUUCUGACCAGUCAGCACUAAAGUAGGUCGGCUGCCUUUCUGGUAGAUUUGAUUAAGUCGGCUUUAGAAGCAUUGGAAACUAGACUUCAAGAGCUUUCCAAAAAGUACUUAUGGACCUUCAUAGCUUUUGAGAAUCAUAAGAUAUGACUGUUUCUUCUGGACGGUUCUGUUGCGCUGGACUGACUCGGACAUAACUCUUCUUGUUGACUCGUCCUUGAUAUGUUUUGUCCUUCCUCUUUGGUGAACCUAAGUAAUAUCAACAUACACGACUUAGGUAGCAUAAAGUUCUCAUUAGUGUUUAAUUGAAAUUCAUAAAGUAGCGCGUGCACCUCUUGAUGUAGCUUCUUAGCUCGGCUACGUGUAAUUGGUCCAUCAAAGACUUGGGUUGGUGAUGAUGUUGGUUGUACUUGAGUUGAUGUAGUAUGACUUGGGGGUUGUAACAUGUUGCUUAAUGGCGUGGUCAUAUCAUCCUCCUCCCCUUGAAAAGGAGUCGUCCUCGACUCUGAAGUGUCUUCGCUUGUAUAUGGUAAGAGGUUAGCAACAUUGAACGUGUUGCUCACGCCAUAGCUUGGUGGAAGAUCUAUCUUGUAUGCAUUAUCAUUGAUCUUGGAAAGAACACGAAAUGGACCAUCCCCUCGUGGCAUCAAUUUGGAUUUGCGCUGAUCAGGAAAACGCUCCUCGCGCAAGUGAAUCCAAACCAAGUCCCCCGGCUCAAAUAACACUUUCUUCCUAUGCUUGUUCAUACUUGCAGCCCUGCGCACAUCUUUGAGCUCAAUUACUUCCUUGGUCUUCUCAUGUAUCUUUUUUAUAUAUGCAACACGCUUGGAAGCUUCCAUAUCGGUUCUUUCCUGCAAUGGAAGGGGCAACAAAUCUAUGGGAGCAAUAGGUUUGAACCCAUAUACAAUUUCGAAGGGGCAUAAAUUAGUUGUAGAAUGUACUGCCCUGUUAUAAGCAAACUCCACGUGUGGCAAACAUUCCUCCCAGUCCUUCAAGUUCUUCUUUACCAUUGUUCGCAGCAGCAUUGACAAUGUACGAUUCACCACUUCAGUUUGGCCAUCAGUUUGGGGGUGGCAAUGUGGUGGAGAACAAAAGUUUAGUCCCAAGCUUUGCCCACAAUGUCUUCCAAAAAUAGCUCACAAACUUCACAUCACGGUCAGAUAUGAUGGUCUUGGGCACUCCAUGUAGUCUCACGAUUUCUCUGAAAAACAAAUUAGCAACAUGUGAAGCAUCGUCGCUCUUGUUGCAUGGAAUAAAAUGAGUCAUUUUUGAAAAUCUAUCAACCACAACAAAAAUAGAAUCUCUCUUUUUUCGAGUCAUCGGCAGUCCUAAAACAAAAUCCAUGCUUAUGUCUUCACAAGGAAUUUUAGGAGCAGGUAAAGGAGUAUAUAAACCAUGAGGGUUCAAUUUUGACUUAGCUUUGUGACAGGUGACACAACGCUCCACAAAUCUGAUGACGUCUCUCCUCAUCUUGGGCCGAUAGAAAUGAUCACUGAGCAUUUCAUAACUCUUCUUUUGUCCAAAAUGACCUGUUAGACCACCUCCAUUGACUCCUGCAAUAAAAGCAAUCUAACCGAAGAAUUUGGUACACAAAGUUUGUUAGCUCUAAACAAAAAUCUAUCAUGUAUAUGAUAUUUUUCCCAACCUUUUCCGUCUUUACAAUGAUUGUAUGGUUCUAAAAAUUCAGGAUCAUCAUUAUACAUUUCUUUCAAAUUUUCAAGACCCAAAACUUUUACCUCUAGUUGAUUCAACAACACAUUCCUUCGAGACAAGGCAUCAGUGACCACAUUGUCCUUACCUUUCUUAUUUUUCACAAUGUAUGGAAAUGUUUCGAUAAACUCAACCCAUUUGGCAUGGUGACGGUUCAGUUUGGCUUGCCCUUUCAAAUAAUUCAAAGCUUCAUGAUCGGAAUGAAUAACAAACUCUUUUGGCCAUAAGUAGUGCUGCCAUGUUUCAAGCGCUCGGACCAAAGCAUACAAUUCUUUGUCAUACACAGAAUAAUUUAAUUGAGCACCUCCCAAUUUUUCACUAAAAUAUGCUAUAGGUUUUCCUUGUUUCAUUAAAACUCCUCCUAUCCCAAUCCCACUAGCAUCACAUUCUACUUCAAAAGUUUUAGUGAAAUCAGGAAGAAUAAGUACAGGUGCUUCAGUCAAACGUUUCUUCAAUUCUUGAAAAGCAUGUUCUUGUGAGUUUCCCCAUUUAAAUUCAACACCUUUCUUUGUCAAUUCAUUUAAAGGAGAAGCGAUGGUACUGAAAUCUCGCACAAAUCUUCUAUAAAAACCAGCAAGACCAUGAAAACUUCUUACUUGACUUACAUUCGUUGGAGCUGGCCAAUCCUUGAUGGCUUUCACCUUGGAUUCAUCCACCUCUAUUCCUUUUGCUGAAACAACAAAGCCAAGAAACACAACAUGGUCUGUGCAAAAACUGCACUUCUCAAGAUUAGCAAAUAAUUUCUCCUUUCUAAGCUCAUCUAAAACUUGUCGAAUGUGUUUCACAUGUUCAUCAAAAGACUUGCUGUAAAUUAGAAUAUUAUCGAAGUAGACAACAACAAAUUUUCCAAUGAAAGUUCUUAAGACAUGGUUCAUUAAUCUCAUAAAAGUACUAGGAGCAUUAGUCAACCCAAAGGGCAUUACUAACCAUUCAUAGAACCCAAAUUUUGUUUUAAAUGCAGUCUUCCAUUCAUCUCCAGUUUUCAUUCUUAUUUGAUGGUAUCCACUUCUCAAAUCAAUUUUAGUAAAAAUUGUGGAACCACUUAAUUCAUCAAGCAUAUCAUCUAGCCGUGGAAUAGGAUGGCGAUAGCGAACGGUAAUGUUAUUUAUAGCUCUACAAUCAACACACAUCCUCCAAGAUCCAUCUUUCUUAGGUACUAAAAUCACAGGAACAGCACAAGGGCUUAAGCUUUCACGAACAAAACCUUUAUCAAGAAGUUCUUGCACUUGCCUUUGUAUUUCCUUAGUUUCUUCAGGAUUGGUUCGAUAUGGUGGACGGUUAGGAAGUGCAGCCCCUGGAAUAAGAUCGAUUUGAUGCUCAAUCCCUCAAAUUGGAGGUAGUCCAGCAGGUGUUUGUUGUGGAAACACGUCUUCAAAGUCCUGCAAAAGAUCAGCCACAACACUAGGAAGAGAUGUUAUGUCGUUAGGAGAAAUCAAAACAUCUUUGUUCACAAGUACAAAGAGUACUUGAUAUGGGUUGUUCCUCACUUCUCUCAGCUCAGAUUUUGUGGCUAGCAUAACUAGAUGUUCUCCCUCUUCCUUCCUUUUAUCUCUUGAAUUUGGCAUGUAGCACUCGCUCACCGAAUUGUGGAUGGCACUCAAUUUGUUUUGCUCUUCUCCUCUACUUGCUGCACUAAUUUCAGUUUUCUUUUGUAAAUGUUCAGCCAUGAUUUGUUGAGGGGUCAUAGGUUUGAGUACAAACUUUCUCCCUUUCAGAUCUAGCGUGUAUUGAUUUGUUCUUCCACAAUGCUGAGAAUAUCGGUCAUAUUGCCAAGGUCUUCCUAGCAACAUGUGACACACAGACAUGGGUGCAACAUCACACUCCACUGUGUCAACAUACUCUCCAAUCUUGAACGGAACUUUCACCUUAUAACCAAUCUUGAUAUCUCCCGAUUCAUUCAGCCAUUGGACAUGAUAUGGAUGAGGGUGUCGCUGCAACUUCAAACCAAGCUUUUCAACCAUCUCACGACUUGCAAGAUUAUGACAGCUCCCUCCAUCAAUGAUCACCUUUACUACUUUGUCUUGCAUUUUUGCUCGCGUUUGAAAAAGAUUAUGUCGCUGUCCAAUUUUAGCUUCUUUCAUUUGAACACUCAAGAUUUGUGUAACCACAAGAGUAGUACCAUGCUCAAAUUCACAUCCCGUAUGUUCUUCAGAUUUAUCAAUGUCAUCUUCAUUUCCUGCUUCAGCUUCCUCUUCACUAGCCGAUGUAUAUUCUCCAUCAUCAGUCACAAGGAUCACACAAUUAUUUGGACACUCCUUUAUGACAUGACCACGACCUCCACACUUGAAGCACUAAAUACCACUACUCUUGGUUGUUGAACCCACUGAUGUUGAAGUGGAUGCUGCUGGUUUAUAACUCGUGUUUGGAGCAGCACCGUUCUUUCCACUAGAAUUGCCUUGAAUAUUGGAUCGCAAGUUUCCAGUUGAACCUUUUGUUGCUGAGGAUGCAGCAGUAAACCUUGAGAUCGAUUUGCUUCCUCCAGUCAUGGUUUGUGCACCAUAUGACAAGGGCUUGCUGCUCUUAGCAUCUUGUUGCAGCUGGCGUUCAGCUUUGGUGGCUUGAUGUACCAAAUCAAUAAGACUUUGGUGCGGCUGAAACUCAACAAUACGCUGAAUGUUGCGGUGUAACCCAGCCAUGAAACAUGCAAUGGUUUGCUCUUCGUCUUCAUACACAUUGGCUCUAAUCAUGGCCUUCUCCAUCUCCUUAUAAUAUUCCUCAACAGAGAAACUUCCUUGCCUCAGAUUCUGCAAUUUAUCAAAAAGAUCACGCCGAUAAUGCUUUGGUACAAAACGAAUUCUCAUUUCGCUUCAUCUCUUGCCAAGUAAUAAUAGGGUUCUCUCCAUCUUCUUCACGAUCACGAAGAAGUUGCUCCCACCAAAUCAGGGCAUAUCCUUCAAACUCAAGAGAUGCCAUUGCAAGUUUAUUCUCCUCUAAUAAUUAUGUAGGCGGAAGAUUUUCUCCACCUUCAAUUCCCAUGUGAAAUAAUCUUCAGGAUCAGAUCUACCAUCAAAUUUUGGCAUGGUAAACUUAAGUUUCCCAAAUCUCUCUUCUUGGUUGACGCCUCUAUGAUGACGACAACCAUAGCGAUGUUGGGACUGAUCGUCAUCCCGAAAUUCAGAUUCUUCAUUGUCAUUAUUUCUUCGAUUCCGGCCUCUUCCUCUACCAUGUGCAGCACCUUGAUUUCUCCUCCCAUGUUCACUUGCUCUUCUAGAAUAAUUUCCUUCACCUUCUUCCUCAUCUUCAUCAUGGUUUCUUGCACCGUUAGGGAGUCGACGAUGACCUCUGAUUUCAGCCAUAAGUGUCUGAAGAUCUUGUGCCAAUAGAUCUUGCUUGGCUUCUAUGCUUUGUUUGAGCUCAUUGAAUUGUAUCAUGGUGACACAGUCUUCAAUCUCAGCGUUGGGAUCCAUCUUCCUGCGAAAUUAGUGGCGACAAGGCAACAAAUAUAGGUGGAAUAUGAAGCUAUAUAGAAUCUCAUAACCUCACCACUCUUACCAACCAAAGCUCUUAUGAGGUCCCUGCGGGUUGCAAGAAACAAUGUGUGGUGGUAACAAGAAAGUGAUGGUUAAGCGAAUACAAGACCAGAGCACCGAUUACGAUGGCUUAUAUGUGGAGCUUGGUGGGGGAAUAGUAAACAAGGAAUGCAAUCUGAAUCCAAGUUGUUGUAAAGUUAAAUAACAAUCCAACUAGAAGUUCACUGCCUAGUGCUGACCACAAGAUUCGAGUGAUGGAAGUAGAUCAAACACACGCGCAAAGAAAUUUCAGAUUUAAUGCAAAUCAAGGAGUAUGAUUGGAAUGCAAGUGUUACGGUCAGACCCAACCAAAAUUUUGCACCAAAAGACAAUAGCAAACUGGUUGAACAACUUGAUGAACUUUCAGCACUUGUGCACAUAAACAAACCGAUCGUUCUUCUUUUCUUUCACAAUAUUGCUCAACACUUUUUUUGGUACUUUUCUUUCUUCUCUUUUUUUUGAUACUCUUUUUAUAGAACUAAACACAGAGAUCUGAUAUGAUAUUGCACACUUUAUAAUAAUUAACAAAGAACUCAACCAGCAGUUAUAACUUAAAUAGGAUCAAAGUUAACGCGAAGGAAAUGAUGAGGGUUUUCAGAUUUUUCUUUUUGUGGAUAUUUUCAGAUAUAUAUAUAUAUAUAUAAGAGGCUCAAAGGAAACACAAAGGAUAGAGUGACCAGCAACUAAACAAAGAUUCUAAGGACUGAAACUUAACAAAACUCACUGGAACAACAGAUUGAAACAAAGGGCUAUGGCAAAAAUAUUUUAUGGCUUUUUAGUGGAUAGGACGAACACAAAAUAUAUGUAGCUAAGGGUAAAGAAUCCUAUCGUGGCAACUGAGGCUUUGAUACCAGAUGAUGCGUCACGAUGCCCGAUCUUCACGACGUAGGAUCAAUCUUCAGAUAACUAGCUUCAAAGAAGCCAAGAUAACUUGCUGCAAGCACCGAUAACUAGUGCAACCUGUCAAAUAAAACUCGAAGCCAACCACCGUCUUUAACUGGUAGCCUGAAUCGAGGAUUCACCCAACCACACUCACAAGAACCAACUAACACAGCCUACAAUCAAUCGAGGAGACCUCGAAGGGAGUAGGAGCACCACUUGGGAGCGGAUGAAGCCGCCGCUUCUGCAAUCCCGCGAAGGAAUUCACAAGAGCAAAGGGGUAGAGAUCACUCUCAAUAUUUGUUAGCACACACCUGAACAAAGGGUUCUGUUUUUAGAUUAUCAUAAGCUGCCUUACAUCAUAGACAUAGGGGGUAACAACCAGCCUUAGCGAGGUAUAAACACGAAACAAAAGUAUUUUCACGUGCUAAUGUGAAGGAGCCUCUUCGGGAGAUCUGCAGAGCUGAUUUCUGUGUGGCUGUUUGACUUCUGCGCACCCUUCAGUAUUUUGACAAUAACUUCUUCUAGGAAUCUUCAAAUGAGGUGGCGUUGGAUGCGUUGGAAAUCUGACUUGAUAAGCUUUCUCACCAUAUAUAGCAUGCUUAAUGAAACUUCGUAGAAUGAUGCAGUUUAAUACGAAAACUUGGUCAUCAAGCAGACUGUUGACCUUCUGACCAGUCAGCACUAAAGUAGGUCGGCUGCCUUUCUGGUAGAUUUGAUUAAGUCGGCUUUAGAAGCAUUGGAAACUAGACUUCAAGAGCUUUCCAAAAAGUACUUAUGGACCUUCAUAGCUUUUGGGAAUCAAAAGAUAUGACUGUUUCUUCUGGACGGUUCUGUUGCGCUGGACUGACUCGGACAUAGCUCUUCUUGUUGACUCGUCCUUUAUAUGUUUUGUCCUUCCUCUUUGGUGAACCUAAGUAAUAUCAACAUACACGACUUAGGUAGCAUAAAGUUCUCAUUAGUGUUUAAUUGAAAUUCAUAAAGUAGCGCGUGCACCUCUUGAUGUAGCUUCUUAGCUCGGCUACGUGUAAUUGGUCCAUCAAAGACUUGGGUUGGUGAUGAUGUUGGUUGUACUUGAGUUGAUGUAGUAUGACUUGGGGGUUGUAACAUGUUGCUUAAUUGCGUGGUCAUAUCAGCAGUGGUAACAAACAAAAACUCUAGAGGCAUCUACAUAAAAUUCCCCACAAGUUUUGUAUACAAUUUAGAAUUAAAUUCCAACAUCUAAUUAGCUCAAAACAGUCCACAAGAUAAACCCUGCAAUCUGUUUUUUUUUUGGACAGCAACAUACCCGGAUUCAAACAGCGAUAUCUCCUAAUUUAUAAUUCCGAAUUGAGCGCAUAAGUACUUGUUGGAAAGGUAUGACAAAGCUCUACAUAAUUAUCAUACUGUUUGUCACUAAUUAACCACGAAAAAUACCCAAAAACUGCUAAUACCACUUCUGUACGCCCACCUGCACAAAUCUGUUUCUUUGGACAGCCACAUACCCGGGUUCAAACGGCGAUAUCUCCUAAUUUAUAACUCCGAAUUGGGCGCAUAAGUACUCGUUGGAAAGGUAUGACAAAGCCCUACUUGAUUCUCAUACUGUUUAUCACUAAUUACCCACGAAAAAUUCCCAGAAACUGCUAAAGCUACUGCUGUUCGCCCACCCACUAAACUUCCGGACAGCACCUCUACCAAUUCGCAUACGCAACAUCUAUUCAAUUGAAUUGCAGCACAAAUAAAUAAGAAAUAAACACAAAAAUCACCUUGGAUUCUCCCCUUUUCCUUCCUCCCUUUUUCCCUCCACCAAAACCAAUUGGAGACUUGCACCACGCGACGAAGAUCCAAUCGGCAAGGAAUGGCACCUUGGGGAGGAGGAGAUGGGGGCGGCUAGGGUUAGGUGGUGUGGCUGCAAGAGUUUGAGGGAGGAGGAGAUGGGAGGGGGGGCGGCGGCCAAGGGCUAGGGGAAAUGGGGGCGGCUGCACAAGGGGAGGGCGGCUAGGGUUAAGGGGAGGCUAAUGGGCCGGAUCAAGAUUCAUGGCCCAACUCGCCCACGCGACAGCCCCCGACCCCGUCGCAAGCGUCUAACCAAAGAAAUUCUACUGUCUUACUGGUGAAUGUUUUCCACAAAUUCCAAAUCCCCAAAGCGCAUCACCCGAAUGAGAAAAAAACAAAAAAAAGAAUAACCUCCAACUUCUCUUCUUUGCAAACCGGGUAUCACAGUUAUCGAGUGUGAAUAGAUGAUGUUUAUAAACUCCUUAACAGAAAUUUCAAAAAUGAAUUUCGGAGAACUUGACCGAAGGUGCAUUGUAUGGCAUAAUUGAAGACCUAUGCACAUUCGUAUUGAAAGAGGUCAUUCCCGCUGAAGGGAAAUGCCAUGAUGCUUCCAGUACAUUAGAUAUGCGAGAGUUUAGAAUACUAACAGAAGUUAGUAGACUAUCUCUUAGACGAGAUAGUUAUUAGAGCAUAGGAGAAAAAUUUUGAUGUAUAGAAUGUGUGAAGCAUAUAUGGUUGUAAACAAAAGACUUUGAUGUAUAGAAUGUAUGAUAGAAUUUAAUUCCAUGUUGUUUUCAAUAUGUGUGCGUGUGUGUAAAGAAAUAUAAAAAUCAGUUUUGUUUGAAAAUUUCAAAAAAGUCGGGAAAACUUAUACUGGCGAGAAAUGUUAAGGAAACCGCCAGUGAAAAUAAAAUUUCCACUCGUGGUUUUAUUAAGCAAACCGCCCGUGAAAAUAACUUUUGCACUGGCGAUUUGCUUAAUACAGCUGCCUAUGGAAAUAACAUUUCGACUGGCGGCUGUAUCAAGCAAACCACAAGUGGAAAUAACAUUUCCACUAGCGGCUUUAUUAAGCAAACCGCCUGGUGGCUUUAUUAAGCAAUAAAGCCGCCAGUGGAAAUGUUACUUCCACUGGCGGUUUACUUAAUACAGCCGCUAGUGGAAAUGCUAUUUUCACUAGCCGCUGCAAAACAACCGCCAGUGAAAACACCGAUUUCCACUAGCUCGUAGCACGAGUGGCACUGGAAAAUGCUAGUGCAAAUAGCUCUAGGACCGCCACUAUAGAGCUUCUGUGUACUAGUGUAAUCUGACCACUAAAUAUUUACUACAAGACUGAUUUAAGCACCUACUAGCAAAAAUACGUGCCUACCUACAAAUAAGAAAGUUGUAGCAUGUAUAUGUAUCUCUAAAUAUAUAUAAACACGUCGACUAUUUGGUUUACAUUGCAUCAUCUCGGUGAUAAUAAUAUAUGUAUUAUUAUACACAAGGUGACAAAUAUUGAUAGUCGUCAAUGAUACUGUUGCAUAGUGGUUAUCUAAUAAAUACUGGUUUUGAUAUAAUAAAUCAAUGUGUUUUGAUAUAAUCCAUUGUGUGACGUUGCUAUACAUGUGAUUCUCAUCCGAUUUCAUGUAUAGUGGAACAUCUGGUUUUGUCCUUAGAACCGGGUGUGAUUGUUUAGCGAUGGUACUUACAACCACCAUCUUUAUAGGUUGCUAAAGGUCUUUAUUUACAUCUGUAGGAUGCUGAAGGUGCAUUUAGCAACCAACAUAAAGUAGGUCUUUUUCUGUUAUUAUUUGAGCACUGUGUGAUGAUGUCCAACUAUAUAAUUGUUGUGUGACACGAACACGGUUCGCAUUCGGUUUGCCUUCUAAAACCGGGUGUGAUAGUACCGUCGUGUAUUGAUUUUUAACGCACAUAUGAAUAUUGUGCCUACUUUUUGCGUUUUGACAUUGUGGUUUGGUAGCAACGGUGCAUAAUUAUAUAUGAAGUAUAGUUUUGGGAGGCUUUAUCAAAUCCUAACUUUCAUGUGGUUUUUAUGUAAAUCUUGGUGAAUUAUAUGGUAUAAGCCCAAAUAAUACUCGUUAUUAAAAUUGGAAUGCAUCAAAGUGCCAAACAUUGGACCGUAAGUAAGGAAUUAGUCGUUACUAUAUAUUGCAUAUGUACCUUGUCCAUGUUUAUUACUCGUGUGCUCGAAAGCGGUGGUCCAUUGACGGGUGGAUUGUAUUGAAAAUUGCGGCAACAUUAAUCGAUGGAAGGAACGGUGGAUACUACAAGUAUUGGGAAGCAUUGCCAUAAGUGUGACAUGUAGACCUUCAAGAUUUCCCAUAACAUAAUGGCCUUUAAAAAAAGACUAUAAUAUAUAACCACAUCUGUAGACAAUCGAUAAUAAACACGAGACAUAUAAUUAUUUAUUAUUAAAUAUAUUGAUUAACACAAUCACUGAAGUACAAGUAGAGCCAUCACACACGUACAUAUUUUAAACCAGCCAUGCAAGUAACUUUAGAUAUCACACUCGCUCGCAUUAUUGAAAUCAAAUUUGUGCGUAAUCCAUCAAGGCGUAAUAAAAUUGAAGGCUUGGCAUUGUGGCACAAUCUAGCCAAUAUAUGGUGCUGGGUUAACCACAACAGCCUGACCAUUGACGAUGUCGUUGUAGAUACAAACACGUACGGUACCAUCUUGGAGUGGAGACGGGACCCCAUCUGGAGGGAGUACUCGAACUUCGGUUAUAUUGGGAUUAUCUUGACGGAUAAUGUUAACCGCAUCUACAACGGGGUAGCCAACCAGAUCAGGCCAUGUUUGGGUCGUUAUACCAAGCUUGACGACCUCCAUCAAUCAAUCAGAUAGUGUCCUUCUGAAACUGUUAUAAUUGCCAACAAGCAUCAAUAAUCAAGGAAAACUGACAUAGUGUAAACAAACACAUUAUUUUAAAAACAUAACGGCAUCGAUCAUAUAUAUGGCAUGCUUGAGCAUGUUGGUAAAUACCUACGUACCUGCAAAGAAGAAACUAGUAGCCUGUAUAAGGAGAGAAUAGGAGAUGGUAGGUGCUCUAUGUAUGUCUAUGCAUGUAUAUAUAUACACACGGUGACUAUUUGGAUUGCAUGCAUCCUCUCGGUGAUAACAAUGGAUGUAUUUUAUGGACCCGUUCAUAUUGCUACCGAUUUUAAUACUCAGCUCGUCGAUGAUAACGGUGCAUCCAUUUUUCUUCUUUUACUUAGUAAACAUCGUCGGCACAUGUUGUGGUUAAUUAACAGCAUCAUCUUCUCGAUCUAAUUGUGGAUUGUGCUGCUCCUGCUUGUUAUUAGCUGGCAGUACAGCCCUUUGUUUACACGGUACUAGCACAGUACGUACUUGGCUGGUACCAAAACGUUGGACGGAACCGAGUCACGCAUGAAGGACGGAACAGUCAGCAGUCACCGCCAUGGCAUGCAUGUCUGUUAUCUGUAGCGCACGAUGACAUCAGAAGCGGAACCAACUUCUUUGCAAGGCAACGAACCAAAGGCACCAUCUCCUAUUUGUUUGGUUCAGUAAUCAAUAGCGUAUUCCUUUUAGAGAGGCAGAAGAAAGGAGUGGAGGGAUGAAGGCAACGAACCAAUGAAGUCGCGUGGGCCGCGGGAACGAGAUUGUAAAUUUUCAACAGCUGUUCCGUUCGUGUAAUCAACUGGUGAAAAAUAUUUGCACUAGAUCCACUUGUGUAGUAGCCUAUGCAUAUUUAAGUCUAUUUUAUGUUUUCUUUUUCUCCUUUUCCUUUUAUUGUGCAAUGUGACAUGUUUUUUAUGUAUCGUUACAUGAAUUUUUGAAAGUUUAAGUACCUACUCAGGAUUUUUGUAGACUCUCCGUCUUUCGGUACCAUGUUAUUAUUCAUUUGGCAAUAUUUGUAACACCAUUUCUGCGAACACAAUAUUGACCUAUCCCUUUUGGUUCGGGUUGAUGAUUAGUGAUCGCCAACGGGUAGCACUCUAGAGUAGUCAGUGGACUAACUAGACUAUGAGAUUAUGUAUCUACAACCAUGUCGGUCGCAUUAGGGUGUGCAGGUGUGGAGCACAGGGGCGGUGGUCGACGACGAAGGUAAAAGUCAUGUGGGUUCGUGCUGAUGUACCGGGAGUGGUGAAAGACAGACGAUGUGACUUGACUUAGGGACCAGAGUCGCUAGGUGACCAACCGUGGUGGCUGACACCUGGGUCACGCACUCGCGUUAGGACGUGGCGUAGCGGGCUGUGUUGCCGAGACAGUCUAGGACUAGCGGAACACAUGUCCAAUAUGUGGGGGACGCGCAUGCGGUGCGAUACUCACGAAGGUUUGGUGGUUGAGCCUCAAAACGAACAUGCGCUACAGAUGGCCGGGUUUGCCGAGUGUCGGUCUGGCAACACUCGAGUGCCAACGCCUGGCGCUCGGCAAGGUUAACGGUCGUCAGCUAUAGACGACUGCUGACGGCCCUUUGCCGAGCGUCGCCGUGUGUCGAGUGUUUGGCACUCGGCAAAGAGGUCUUUGCCGAGUGUAUUCCUAUGCCGAGCGUCCUACUCUCGGUAAACGUGGUCGUUACCGAGAGUAGGACUUUGCCGAGUGCAGCGCUCGACAAAGAAUUCUUUGCCGAGUGCCUGAAAAAAUGUACUCGGCAAAGACUCGAGCACUCGACAAAGAGCCGGUGUUGGGGGCCUUCGGCUUACGAAGGUCCUCAAAAACAGUAUUUAACAGUAUUUUCUGGAGUAUAAUGUGUGGACAGGUAUCUUCGGACUCAAGUCGGUAUCACAGCAGACCAAAAUAAUACGAAGGUUGAUACAGCGCCGAAGGUGUGAGCAGGAAAGCUUCGGCGUGGUAGCAAAAAAUGAAACCGACUUAAAGAUGAAAAGGCUAUUCAGACCUCGAUAGAUUACUAUAGAAUUAUUAUCAAAUGUAAAGGGCAUAAAUGUAAUUUUGUAUGGGUUGUGUCCUGUGCCUAUAAAUAGGUGAACAGUACCCCCGUACUGUUCACGCUGAUUUGACAUUCGCUUUUGCGUCACGUUUGUACUUUCAUCUCCUUCAAGCUGAAGGUACAUUUGUAAUUCGAUGUUAUUUCUGUUUCUACAUAAUAAUAAUGCAAAGAUAAAUUAAUAAUAAUAUGCAAUUGUCUAUGUUAUCCUUCAUAUUCCUUAUAAUUCAUUCUUCGUCAUUAUAUAGUGUAUUUAUGAAGGUACGCCCUUCAUAACCUUCGUCCGAAAAUCAUUAUAUCCUAAGGGGAAUAAUGCUUCGAAGGACGAAGGACUUUACCGAUUAACAUUUUCUAUGUUGCCUUGUUCUUAACUCAUAGCAUUUGAGAACAAGUCCCCAACAGCCGGGUUCCGGUAGUGCAUUUAGAUACGCUACUAUAGAAAAGGUUUCUACCAACACUAGAUUUACCACUGCAUGCUUCUGUGAAAACUAAAUAUAAAUAAUUUCAACAACUAUUUGCAGUAGCAUACAAUGAUGGAAAUCAUUCUUAUUUUAAAUCUAGGCCAUUAUACGAUUGGUUGCGAAAAUAGAUUUUACGACUUGGCGAGGGGUUAAGGAUGACAAGGUGACCCCACAAGUCAGGGACCGAGCGUGAGGGUGUGCGUGAAGGUGGCUAACGAGGAAGUCCCACCUGUCAGCAGCUACGAGAGGGUGAAAUCGACGCCGCGCUGCUGCACCUAAUGGGGUGGUCCUGCCUGUCAGUGAUUGAAGAGCACGGUUAUGCUGGUAUGCUGUGCUUCUAGGCCGAAAGCCACUUGGCCCGCUUAGGGGCACUAUUUUAUCUUUAAAAUUUAUGAGAAAGAGAUUUUGAGUUUAAAAUUCAAAUUCAAAUGCAAAUGACUUCAUAUAAAUUUGAAACAUUGUCAGGAAUUCGUUUAUAGCCAUACAAACAUCUUGGCAAAAUAUGAAGACAUAUAUUUUUAUAAAUAAUUAAUGCACAAAAAUUAAUUCCCCUCGUUCUCCUUAAUUAUUGGACAAGAGAGUCACAUGUGAUAAAAAUUUCAAAAUCCUUAAAAUUAUUGAUAUGGGUUUGUAUGAUUACAAUAGACUUUGCACAUUACAAAGGUAGGGUUGUCGAGUACUCAGGAACCGAGUACCCGAAAUAGGCCGGUGGCCUCUUUAAAUAUGGACCACUAGCCGACCAAACCUACCUCGAGCAACCAAGCGAGGUGGAGCGACUUGGCGAGGCGGAGGUCCCAAUCCAGUACUGCUGACCCAUGUCAACUACAACAAGAAGCAUCAUCCACAUGUCACGUCUGGGCAUACGUGUGGCACACCUAAGGCGCGUCGGGAAGUCCCUGUCGACAUAAACGUACGCCCCCACGUACGAUCCAAAUGUACCCGCGCUGCCUUGUUGGGCCAGUCAAACCCGGUCAUGGGGGAUCUCUGCCCUAGAGUCUCUACAGUGACUCGCAUACCGCGAGGGACGCGACAAUACACUGCACCGGUUGUAUGGUGGAGGGUGACGCAAGGAUCAUGAUGAUAGGCAAGGCUGUGCCAUGUGCACCCUCACCAUGAGACUGGAUAAUGGGACCCACCACACAUGUCACACCCGAGUUUCGGGGGCACCAAGACCCGAGCGUGAACAUAAUCAAGCGUGUUGGAACCAAGUCUCACACAUAUGAUGAAUCAUGGUACAGAAACGAAUGUCACAUCUUUACUAUACAAUAGGAGUUCUAUACAAAAUAAAUAAAUAAUUACAUCAUAAAGAGACAGCGAUCUAGCAACCCAAAGUUGACUGGGAGACGACGGCCUAGACUUCUCACGAAAUCAUCACAGCAUCCUCCAUGUGCCUCAUCCUGCGGUACUGAAAGGGAAAUGUGCCCUUGGGCCAUUUCUAUAAUGUUUUGGUGAUUAAGUGUCCAACACAUAGUGAAUGAGAUAUUGUGUGCCAAACAAGCAUAAAGGUGCAAAUCAUGUAACGAGGUACGUUUCUAGACUUAAUACAUUGUUUUGAGUACUAACAUAUUUUGUCUAAGUGCUAGAAACAGACAAAAGAAGAAAAGAAAAGAGAUGCAAAAGACUUGGCUUGGUACAGCCAAAUUACAGCUCGGCUUGGCACACCGGACAGUGUCCGGUGCGUCAGGUCAGCCUCCGGUGAACAGGCCACUCUUGGGAAAAAUCGGCGGCGUAGGGCUAUAAUUCACCGGACUGUCCGGUGGUGCACCGGACUGUCCGGUGAGCCAACGGCCGCCAGCGCAACGGUCGGCCACGCAAUCCGCGGGCGACGAGUGGCCCGCGCCAACGGUCGGCAGGGGGCACCGAACUGUCCGGUAUGCACCGGACAGUGUCCGGUGCGCCAACUGCCACGGCGCUGCAACGGUCAUCUGCACCAAAUUAGGAAGGAGAUUUGCACCGGACAUGCUACAGUGACUGUCCAGUGGUGCACCAGACUGUCCAGUGCACCACCCGACAGAAGGAAACUUUGGCCUUCCUUGUUGGCCUCCAAUGGCUCCUAGCUGCCUUGGGGCUAUAAAAGGGACCCCUAGGCGCAUGGAGGAGUCACCCAAGCACACUCUAAGCAUUCCAAGACUUCUAGUCCUCACUUUCACGCAAUCGUUCAUCGUUCUUGAGAUUGGAGCACUUUUCGAGUUGUAAACUCCCCGCGCGUGUUUUGUGUGCUCAUCUUCUCACUUAUGUGCGUGUUUGUGGUGGGGAUUUAAUUCUAGUGUGCGUUGCUCUUCCCAACCUUACUCCGUGCUUUCAUUGUGAUUUUUGUUGUAAGGGCGAGGGACUCCAACUUGUGGAGAUUCCUCACAAACGGGAAAAUGAUAUAAGCAAAGAAAAGUCAUGGUAUUCAAGUUGAUCAUUGGAUCACUUGAAAGGGGUUGAGUGCAACCCUCGUCCAUUGGGACGCCACAACAUGGAGGUAGGCAAGUGUUAUACUUGGCCGAACCACGGGAUAAACCACUGUGUCUCUUGUGUUGUCUUUCUCUGUGAUUAUUGUGAUUUACAAGAGCUCGCUCCAUAGCCACUUGGUUCUAUUGCACUAACAUCUUUAUAACCAAGCUUGUGGCUAUUUAGUAUUGAAUUUUACAGGAUCACCUAUUCACCCCCUCUAGGUGCUCUCAGGUACCUGUUCUUGACCUGUGGGGGGUGUGAGACAAUGAAGGUGAGCUCACAUACGUUCAUCGCUCAACAAGUUGUGGGGAAUAAUGUACAUGAACUCACCAAAGGAGGGAGCUCAUGUGAAGUGUAUAGGCUUACCAAAGAGGAUGGUUGAAGCUAAGCAUUGCUUUUAAAGUUGGUCAAAAUUUUAUUAGCAGUUACUAAGUGUAAGUAGAUAUCAACCCAAAUAAGUAAUAGAUCAAAAUUGGUAACAACACCCGCGAUGCAAUGCAUAUGACAAAUUAAGUCUAGUUCCAUAAAUUACUCAUGUGAGGGUCCGAGACGCUCAUGACCAUGAGCACGGCUGAUAUACCAGUUUUACACUUUGUAGAGGUUGUGCAUCUUUACCCACAAGUCAUGUUACCCAUCUGCCAAGGGGUCAUGAAUCCCAUACACCUCUACCAAGGAAGCGAGAGGCAGGGCAACACUACGAGGCCUUUACAAAGUUCCACUAUCUUUAGAAAACCCGCUACAGUUUCUAGGAAGUCCCAAUGCAGGGAUCCCUCGCAUGACCGCCAUCGCAGCAAAAUCAACCCAAGGACCUCCCUACACCAACCACUCCCCUACUGCCCUUGCCCCUUUUGGGUAAGGUAGUCAUCCACUAGCUUUUCUAAUUAAUCAGCCAAGGGCGUCCCAUACCACCCUUGUGGUAGCACUGUUUUCUUGGGUGAUUCUCCAUGUUCCAAUUAACAAUAUGAUCUUAUCAUGAACAAUAAUUAAACAACAACAUAAUUGGAACAUGAUCAUAAUGAAACAUUAGUUUCCCAAAACCAUGUAGAGCAAUAGCAAAGCUACCCAGUAAUUCAUCUACUUGCAAGGUGAGGGAUAAACAAUGCUAGGGAAACCUAUUAGGUCCCAUCAAAUUGACCUGAGCAUGUCACAGUGAUUAACAACGAACAUUAUUAGGUAAAAAGGAGUGAUCAACGGCACAACUUGCCUGAGACUCAAGAUUCCUAGGUACCAGCUUGGUCUUCAAGAUUCGUAACCUCACUGCUAAUCAUUACCAUACAAACAAACAUGGUAUAGGCAAAAUUAACAUCACACCAAACAUAAGCACAAUCAGCAUAAUAAUGAUUUAUGUGUCGCUACGAGAUCGUGGGCUCGAGAACCACUAAAUUCGGAGUUACGGUUCAGGAGAUAUAGUUUUCACAAGUUUUGGGUGAUUAACUGAUAAUAUAUUCUAUGUCAUAAUCAUGUGAGAAAAAUAUUACGAAGAAACAACUAAUUCAACUUUAGUAUAGUUUAUCACUUGAUUAGAUAUCCUGAUUUAGUCAAAUUAUAAUUGUAGAUAGGUUAACUUUAAUGAGCAAGCUUAAUCUACCAAACAAAGACUAAACAAUAUCUAAUUAUAAGAAUAUGUGUUAUGAUAAAACUAAUGUUGUUGUUGCGUAGACAAUGUUAUUACGAAGCUAACACAACUGAAAGGGAUUAAAUCAGAGUUAAAAUGAAUUAAUUAUGAAUUUUUGAAGUCUACUUCUAUGCUAGGGGUGUUUUUGUGAAUACAAGGGACUAAUUUGUAAAUUCUAGAAUUCUAGAGUAAGGCUUUGUCUGCGGCUAAGGACGACGGGUUUAUACAAAGAAAAGAUAGGGGCCCUAAUGUGGCAGAACCUCCCAAGUUAUUGACCCCAAAUGCACCUGUCCUUGUCUCACAGACCUCAGACGGCUAUGCAUGUGCACCACAUAACUUAACAGGAUCCGUCCGAGUGUCCCAAGGACCUAGGAUAAACCACUUACAACCAAGAUUGCAAGAUUAAGUAAACACAAAUCAAACACCAACAUUUUGCAGCGGAAUUUCUUUAUUACAAAAAGUUACAAGUUACAACAAAUUCACAUUAUAUUUAUCGGAGUGAUUACAAAAGUGAUUCAAAGAAAUAAACUUUGAAAUGUUUUAAAUUAUUUAUAAGUUUGAAAUAUAUGCUAGCUCAAUGACAAUCCUCAAUAAAAAGCAUAGAAGAGCGACUUUAACCUAUAGAAGGUCCUGCCAACCGGCGCUUAACACCAUCCACAGCAGCACAAAUCUAGUACCUGCAACAACAUGAGUUCGAAAACCCUGAGUACGGAGUGUACUUUCACAAGUCUUGCCCGACUAACGAAAAAGACUCAAGGAUAUGCUGGAUUUGGGAAUCAAGGAAAGGCUUUUAGCAAGGAUCAACAUUAAUAGUUUGCAGAAUGCUUACUAAAAUGAGUCCUUACUUUCAACAUUUUAUUGCUAGAUUAAGUAUUAAUAGACCUUGUUUGCAUCUAUUCUAAUUUCAUCAUCACAUUAAUCAAUACAACAUGACUUUUGCUCAUUAUGAUUCCAUCCAUGACUUAGAUUGCAGGUUAGAGACCAAGUCUUCACAUCAGAGAAGUAACGGCGAUCCGAAUCGAUUAAUACCCAGCUGGGGAUCUCCAACCACACGACAUAUGUAGCAUUUAACCCUUGCAUAUGUCAACUCGCCACCGGGUUUCUCAAGACCAGAAUGGGUUCACGCCAACCGAGAGCUUAGAUACUCCACCGUCCAACCUCUUGCCAAGGAGGGUACACACUACUCUUGCCAUCUCUCCACUCCCAUUGCGUGGUGGCCUUUCUGGUAUUGGUCCGACCGAGGCAAAGCUUACCCAUGACGAGGCAUAUGGUCAGUUAAAAGGUCCUCGGUCAGCAGGCCUACAUGCCUAUAAUCCUUAAUCAACCUGGGUAGAACAUCACCUGUUCCUAGCCCAAGUCUCGAUUUAAGUACUUUCAUCCUUAGGAUUGCUUGUGUUCCAUAGGAUGAUUAAAAUAUCAUAGGGAACCUUGCAUUAGAUCUCCCAAUGAUCCUGGUGAAAAUAUUCUUGUAGGUAGAGCCAUCAUUCCCCAGGAUAAACCUGAGCUAGGCAUUAGUGCAAAGGACAAACUCUAUCUGCAAGAUUUACCUUUAGGUAGGGCUAAGAAAUUUUGUAAAUCAUAUUUGAUACUUCACCAGAAGUAUCUAUAAAAGGAAUGGAUUUCAAGGUAGCCAAUGCAUCAAGGGUUUCCAAGCAACUCCUAUAAACCUAAUGCACAUUUCACUAGACUUAAAGUGUGUAAAAAUCAUUUAAAACACAAGGAAGGGGUUGCAUGCACCGGGGCUUGCCUGGAAUAACACUAGGUUAGUGUUUGUUAGAUGAUGUCCACUUGGUGAUCAACUUUUAUUCUGAUACUUGAUAAGGUCAUCCAUCUUCAGGUCCAUCAUCCGCAUCACCUUUUGGAGUUGCCCACCCGUUACAUCAUCUUGAGGGUCGACUUAGCUCUGGUCCUCCGCAUCACAUGGCUCACUAGCGUACCUACUGAGAUGCAUAAUGCGCAUGUAUAAACAUAAGGAAGAAUAACACAACAUAUUGCACACAAUAUAGAAUUAAGCACAAUGACGAGGCGCUGCAACACUUGUGAGAAAAUACUAGACGCCAACAAAUGACUAAGUACAACAAUGACAACCACGGGUUCUAACAGAAACAUCGAGAAAUAACAAACUAUACAUACCCAGUUCAACACUCGAGUUCCUCAUGUUCAACUUAAUUUACUUAAACCAGAAAUCACAACAAUUCAUAUACUCUAUAUUUCCCUAAUCUAGAGCAUACCUCAAAAGAUUAUCAAACUUGGGCUCAGUCUUCAAGGACACCUGAACACAGGCCUAAAUAGUCACUACUUCAAAUACACUCACCGUAAUAUUUACUUCCUUCCCAAUUACUAAAGUCUAAAGCAAACAAUAAGAAGGAAAUAAAUUAGUCAAAUAUAACAAGGCAUUUCGAUAAACACUUCCUAUGCAACAAGUUGCCAUCAAUCAAGGAUCAAGAAUUGACUAAUCCUACCUAGCCAAACAAGAAUGACAACAAGCAAUAAAUUGCAGGUUUUUCUGGACAGCACUCAGCAGUCAAUUGUUUUGCUCAUAACUCACAAGAUAUUAAUCCAAAAAUAGUGAAACAAGACUUUCUAGAAAGCUAAUGAAAUCCCCUAUAACUUUUGUAUUAUCAGCACAACAUGAUUCGACAUUCUUAAAGGUCAAUCAGUGCUAAACGUAAAUUCUGCCCAGAUUUGGACAGAAUUCAACUACUUCAUAAAUUUAUAACUAGAGUUUCAGGUGAUUCUAGACUUUUUAGAAAGCUAUUAGAAUUGUCUACAAUUCAUUUAUAAUUAUCUCAAGGUGAGUCAAUGUGUAUCGAAGUCAAUUAAUACAAACACACAUUGCUGUCCAGACUUUUGACAGAUUCAAACAUCACAUUUCAAACAGCUAUAACUUGACUUCUAGACCACCAAAAAGGGUGCUCCAAAAUUUUUUGGAAAGCUUAAGAAAAGUACUACAAGUCUCCUAUAAUUACUAAGGGCUGAUUCUAAGUUUAACUUGGGCAAACAAUGUUAUUUUCGAAAUCAGUACAGAAUCUGGGCAGAUUCUGAGACUGGACUUUGAAAAAUCAUAACUCCUAAACUACUAAACCUAUGGUCAUGAAAUUUUUACACAAUCAAGAUAAAGAAGUUAUCUACAACUUUUCUAUAGUAUAUUUCUACAGAAAAUGCACUUUAGUUCGUCAAACAAAUAGCACGGCAGAAACUGUACAUGCAGUAAAAACUGUGAGUAUGCAAUUUUAACUCCUAGUGAGGCUCUAUAGUAUCAAGUUAUUGAUACAUAGAAAUGCUUCAUUAUUUUAUAAUUCAUUAGAGUUCAAACAACCAAAUGAGAACCAACAGUCGAUUUACUAACUACAUUCAAAUUAUUUGGAGCACUAGAAUUAUAACCACACAUAUGCACCAUGACCAAUUUGGCGAUCAGACAUAGUACACAUGUAUGAUAGACAACAUACUCAUCAUAACCAACAUACUACUCAAUUCAUCUAUCAACCACUAUCUGAAACAAUGAUUUGGCUCACCGUUAUUUGCCUAACUUGAUAAUCCACACAAACAGUGACGCUCUCCGAUUCAAUCAUUUCAUCGAACAUCUGGCACUUGUCGCACGGCUUGCCUUGCCUCACCAAUAUGUAAUUCCUCACAACUCGCACAUUACGCACACACAUAUACAUACAUUGGCAUCUAAUAACGUGAUUUUGGGUAUUAGUACUGGCGAGGAAUGAACAAAGGGAGAAACGGGUCCUCACCGGGGUUGACGACAACAUGUCGAAGCUGUCCAAACACGAAGGCGAAGACGAUGGAGCGAAUAACGCACAUACGACACAUCAGGACAAAUUUCUUAAGGAUAGGUAUUUCCUCGAGCAGUCAGCGAGCAUCGUGGACGUAAUACUGCUCCAGCGUGCAACUGCACAAUAUUCAUAUGCGCGUUAAAAAUCAAUACACGACGGUACACUAACAACUACUUUAUGUUGGUUGCUAAAUGCGCCUUCAGCAUCCUACAGACGUUCGAUAAAGACCUUUAGCAACCUAUAAAGAUGGUGGUUGUAAGUACCGUCACUAAACAGUCACACCCGGUUUUAAGGACAAAACCAGAUGUUCCACUAUACAUGAAAUCAGAUGAGAAUCACAUGUAUAGCAACGUCACAUAGUAGAUUAUGUCAAAACACAUUGAUUUAUUAUAUCGAAACCAGUAUUUAUUAGAUAACCACUAUGCAACAGUAUCAUUGACGACUAUCAAUAUUUGUCACCGUGUGUAUAAUAAUACAUAUAUUAUUAUAACCAAGAUUAUGCAAUGUAAACCAAAUAGUCGACGUGUUUAUAUAUACUUAGAGAUACAUAUACAUGCUACUACUUUCUUAUUUGUAGGUAGGCACGUACUUUUUGCGAGUAGGUGCUUACAUCAGUCUUGUUGUAAAUAUUUGGUGGUCACAUUGCACUAGUACACAGAAGCUCUAUAUUGGCGGUCUUAGAGAUAUUUACACUAGCGAUUUUUAGUGCCGCUGGUGCUAGGUGCUAGUGGAAAUCAGCCUUUUAUUGGCGGUUGUUGUGCAACCGCCAGUGAAAAUAUCAUUUUCACUAGUAGCUGUAUUAAACAAACCGCCAGUGGAAAGAACAUUUCCACCGGCAGCUUUAUUAUGCAAACUGCCGUCAUUUCCUCGGACACGGCUCUAUGUAAUUGCUGUGUACAUGAAUUGCCGAUCCUAACACGGACGUGGUUCGCAUUCGGUUUGCAUUCUAAAACCGGGUGUGACAGUACCAUCUUGUAUUGAUUUUUAACGCGCAUAUGAAUAUUGUGCUUGCUUUUUGGGUUUUGACAUGGUGGUUUGGUAGCAACGGUGCAUAAUUAUAUAUGAAGUAUAGUUUUGGGAGGCUUUAUCAAAUCCUAACUUUCAUGUGGUUUUUAUGUAAAUCUUGGUGAAUUAUAAGGUAUAAGCCCAAAUAAUACUCGUUAUUAAAAUUGGAAUGCAUCAAAGUGCCAAACAUUGGACCGUAAGUAAGGAAUUAUUCGUUAGUAUAUAUUGCAUAUGUACCUUGUCCAUUUUUAUUACUCGUGUGCUCGAAAGCAGUGGUCCAUUGACGGGUGGAUUGUAUUGAAAAUUGCGGCAACAUUAAUCGAUGGAAGGGACGGUGGAUACUACAAGUAUUAGGAAGCAUUGCCAUAAGUGUGACAUGUAGACCUUCAAGAUUUCGCAUAACAUAAUGGCCUUUAAAAAAGACUAUAAUAUAUAACCACAUCUGUAGACAAUCGAUAAUAAACACGAGACAUAUAAUUAUUUAUUAUUAAAUAUAUUGAUUAACACAAUCACUGAAGUACAAGUAGAGCCAUCACACACGUACAUAUUUUAAACCAGCCAUGCAAGUAACUUUAGAUAUCACACUCGCUCGCAUUAUUGAAAUCAAAUUUGUGCGUAAUCCAUCAAGGCGUAAUAAAAUUGAAGGCUUGGCAUUGUGGCACAAUCUAGCCAAUAUAUGGUGCUGGGUUAACCACAACAGCCUGACCAUUGACGAUGUCGUUGUAGAUACAAACACGUACGGUACCAUCUUGGAGUGGAGACGGGACCCCAUCUGGAGGGAGUACUCGAACUUCGGUUAUAUUGGGAUUAUCUUGACGGAUAAUGUUAACCGCAUCUACAACGGGGUAGCCAACCAGAUCAGGCCAUGUUUGGGUCGUUAUACCAAGCUUGACGACCUCCAUCAAUCAAUCAGAUAGUGUCCUUCUGAAACUGUUAUAAUUGCCAACAAGCAUCAAUAAUCAAGGAAAACUGACAUAGUGUAAACAAACACAUUAUUUUAAAAACAUAACGGCAUCGAUCAUAUAUAUGGCAUGCUUGAGCAUGUUGGUAAAUACCUACGUACCUGCAAAGAAGAAACUAGUAGCCUGUAUAAGGAGAGAAUAGGAGAUGGUAGGUGCUCUAUGUAUGUCUAUGCAUGUAUAUAUAUACACACGGUGACUAUUUGGAUUGCAUGCAUCCUCUCGGUGAUAACAAUGGAUGUAUUUUAUGGACCCGUUCAUAUUGCUACCGAUUUUAAUACUCAGCUCGUCGAUGAUAACGGUGCAUCCAUUUUUCUUCUUUUACUUAGUAAACAUCGUCGGCACAUGUUGUGGUUAAUUAACAGCAUCAUCUUCUCGAUCUAAUUGUGGAUUGUGCUGCUCCUGCUUGUUAUUAGCUGGCAGUACAGCCCUUUGUUUACACGGUACUAGCACAGUACGUACUUGGCUGGUACCAAAACGUUGGACGGAACCGAGUCACGCAUGAAGGACGGAACAGUCAGCAGUCACCGCCAUGGCAUGCAUGUCUGUUAUCUGUAGCGCACGAUGACAUCAGAAGCGGAACCAACUUCUUUGCAAGGCAACGAACCAAAGGCACCAUCUCCUAUUUGUUUGGUUCAGUAAUCAAUAGCGUAUUCCUUUUAGAGAGGCAGAAGAAAGGAGUGGAGGGAUGAAGGCAACGAACCAAUGAAGUCGCGUGGGCCGCGGGAACGAGAUUGUAAAUUUUCAACAGCUGUUCCGUUCGUGUAAUCAACUGGUGAAAAAUAUUUGCACUAGAUCCACUUGUGUAGUAGCCUAUGCAUAUUUAAGUCUAUUUUAUGUUUUCUUUUUCUCCUUUUCCUUUUAUUGUGCAAUGUGACAUGUUUUUUAUGUAUCGUUACAUGAAUUUUUGAAAGUUUAAGUACCUACUCAGGAUUUUUGUAGACUCUCCGUCUUUCGGUACCAUGUUAUUAUUCAUUUGGCAAUAUUUGUAACACCAUUUCUGCGAACACAAUAUUGACCUAUCCCUUUUGGUUCGGGUUGAUGAUUAGUGAUCGCCAACGGGUAGCACUCUAGAGUAGUCAGUGGACUAACUAGACUAUGAGAUUAUGUAUCUACAACCAUGUCGGUCGCAUUAGGGUGUGCAGGUGUGGAGCACAGGGGCGGUGGUCGACGACGAAGGUAAAAGUCAUGUGGGUUCGUGCUGAUGUACCGGGAGUGGUGAAAGACAAGCGAUCUGACUUGACUUAGGGACCGGAGUCGCUGGGUGACCAACCGUGGUGACUGACACCUGGGACACGCACUCGCGUUAGGACGUGGCGUAGCGGGCUGUGUUGCCGAGACAGUCUAGGACUAGCGGAACACAUGUCCAAUAUGUGGGGGACGCGCAUGCGGUGCGAUACUCACGAAGGUUUGGUGGUUGAGCCUCAAAACGAACAUGCGCUACAGAUGGCCGGGUUUGCCGAGUGUCGGUCUGGCAACACUCGACAAAGUAGCUUCUUUGCCGAGUGCCAACGCCUGGCGCUCCGCAAAGUUAACGGUCGUCAGCUAUAGACGACUGCUGACGGCCCUUUGACGCUAGCGUCGCUGUGUGUCGAGUGUUUGGCACUCGGCAAAGAGGUCUUUGCCGAGUGUAUUCCUAUGCCGAGCGUCCUACUCUCGGUAAACGUGGUCGUUACCGAGAGUAGGACUUUGCCGAGUGCAGCGCUCGACAAAGAAUUCUUUGCCGAGUGCCUGAAAAAAUGUACUCGGCAAAGACUCGAGCACUCGACAAAGAGCCGGGUUCCGGUAGUGCAUUUAGAUAUGCUACUAUAGAAAAGGUUUCUACCAACACUAGAUUUACCACUGCAUGCUUCUGUGAAAACUAAAUAUAAAUAAUUUCAACAACUAUUUGCAGUAGCAUACAAUGAUGGAAAUCAUUCUUAUUUUAAAUCUGGGGCAUUAUAUGAUUGGUUGCGAAAAUAGAUUUUACGACUUGGCGAGGGGUUAAGGAUGACAAGGUGACCCCACAAGUCAGGGACCGAGCGUGAGGGUGUGCGUGAAGGCGGCUAACGAGGAAGUCCCACCUGUCAGCAGCUACGAGAGGGUGAAAUCGACGCCGCACUGCUGCACCUAAUGGGGUGGUCCCGCCUGUCAGUGAUUGAAGAGCACUGUUAUGCUGGUAUGCUGUGCUUCUAGGCCGAAAGCCACUUGGCCCGCUUAGGGGCACUAUUUUAUCUUUAAAAUUUAUGAGAAAGAGAUUUUGAGUUUAAAAUUCAAAUUCAAAUGCAAAUGACUUCAUAUAAAUUUGAAACAUUGUCAGAAAUUCGUUUAUAGGCAUACAAACAUCUUGGCAAAAUAUGAAGACAUAUAUUUUUAUAAAUAAUUAAUGCACAAAAAUUAAUUCCCUCGUUCUCCUUAAUUAUUGGACAAGAGAGUCACAUGUGAUAAAAAUUUCAAAAUCCUUAAAAUUAUUGAUAUGGGUUUGUAUGAUUACAAUAGACUUUGCACAUUACAAAGGUAGGGUUGUCGAGUACUCAGGAACCGAGUACCCGAAAUAGGCCGGUGGCCUCUUUAAAUAUGGACCACUAGCCGACCAAACCUACGUCGAGCAACCAUGCGAGGCGGAGCGACCGACCAAGUCCCUGCCGAGCAACUAUGCGAGGUAGAGCCACAGGUCCCCGCCAAGCAACUCGGCGAGGUAGAGCAACCGACCAGGUCCCCACCAAGUAACGCUGCGAGGCGGAAUGGCCGACCAACUCCUGAUCGAGCAACUUGGCGAGGCGGAGGUCCCAAUCCAGUACUGCUGACCCAUGUCAAGUACAACAAGAAGCAUCAUCCACAUGUCACAUCUGGGCAUACGUGUGGCACACCCAAGGCGCGUCGGGAAGUCCCUGUCGACACAAACGUACGCCCCCACGUACGGUCCAAAUGUACCCGCGCUGCCUUGUUGGGCCAGUCAAACCCGGUCAUGGGGGAUCUCUGCCCUAGAGUCUCUACAGUGACUCGCAUACCGCGAGGGACGCGACAAUACACUGCACCGGUUGUAUGGUGGAGGGUGACGCAAGGAUCAUGAUGAUAGGCAAGGUUGUGCCAUGUGCACCCUCACCAUGAGACUGGAUAAUGGGACCCGCCACACAUGUCACACCCGAGUUUCGGGGGCACCAAGACCCGAGCGUGAACAUAAUCAAGCGUGUUGGAACCAAGUCUCACACAUAUGAUGAAUCAUGGUACAGAAACGAAUGCCACAUCUUUACUAUACAAUAGGAGUUCUAUACAAAAUAAAUAAAUAAUUACAUCAUAAUGAGACAGCGAUCUAGCAACCCAAAGUUGACUGGGAGACGACGGCCUAGACUUCUCACGAAAUCAUCACAGCAUCCUCCAUGUGCCUCAUCCUGCGGUACUGAAAGGGAAAUGUGCCCUUGGGCCAUUUCUAUAAUGUUUUGGUGAUUAAGUGUCCAACACAUAGUGAAUGAGAUAUUGUGUGCCAAACAAGCAUAAAGGUGCAAAUCAUGUAAUGAGGUACGUUUCUAGACUUAAUACAUUGUUUUGAGUACUAACAUAUUUUGUCUAAGUGCUAGAAACAGACAAAAGAAGAAAAGAAAAGAGAUGCAAAAGACUUGGCUUGGUACAGCCAAAUUACAGCUCGGCUUGGCACACUGGACUAUCCGGCGGUGCACCGGACAGUGUCCAGUGCGCCAGGUCAGCCUCCGGUGAACAGGCCACUCUCGGGAAAAAUCGGCGGCGUAGGGCUAUAAUUCACCGGACUGUCCGAUGGUGCACCGGACUGUCAGGUGAGCCAACGGCCGCCAGCGCAACGGUCGGCCACGCAAUCCGCGGGCGACGCGUGGCCCGCGCCAACGGUCGGCAGGGGGCACCGAACUGUCCGGUAUGCACCGGACAGUGUCCGGUGCGCCAACUGCCACGGCGCUGCAACGGUCAUCUGCACCAAAUUAGGAAGGAGAUUUGCACCGGAUAUGCUACAGUGACUGUCCAGUGGUGCACCAGACUGUCCAGUGCACCACCCGACAGAAGGAAAUUUUGGCCUUCCUUGUCCUAGCAUAGAUAGGGCCGCUCGGCGUGAGUUGCAACAUGACCCAAUUUAUGAUCCACAAGAGUGUUAGGUAAAGUACACAUCUUUAGUUUCGUGUGUGUACCUAAUUAGCUGAUUUCACAAUGUCUAUUACACAUGCUUGUUUUGCAUUUUAUUACAUGAAUAGGAGGUCUUGUCUCAAUAUCGUGCGAUGUUUGAUGAAGCCGUGGCAUGAUAUCAAGAUGCACCGGAGCUGAACCAAGACAAAGACGCACCAGUACCGACCGAUACAACCAUUGAGAGGUCAAGGAAAAGGAAGUAGAGUGAUCGGGAAAGAGGUGACAUCGAACUAAACAAGUUUCCUGACAAAACAUAUAAAAUCUCAGAUGUGAGCCUGAAAGGUCACACCUUAGCUCUAGAAGAGGCACUCCCUAAUUUCUGGAAUGGACUUGGGUUCUUAGUUAGAGAUAAUCUUGACAUCACAAUCCGACAUUGGAGAGAUGUGUCAGUUGAUGUCAAGAAUCAAAUAUGGAAUAAGCUAUUAACGAGGUUCGUUCUGCCUCGGGGUUCAGAAGAACUCGUGAAGUACUACAUGAUGAAGCAGCUUGCAAUCCAUUUCCGAAACUAGAGAUCUGAGAUGAAUAAAAAGUUUGCAAAGAAAGGCCUAGACGCGACAAAAAAUAUAAAAUCUCAGUAGGUCACUGGGCGGUAUUUCUAGAGCAGAGAAGCAGCCCUGAUUUCAUAUCUCUAUGCGAGGCAAAUUCGGAACUCUCUAAGAAGAACAAGUACCACCACCAUUUAGGCACAGGUGGUUACAAGCGUUAGAUUUCUAAAUGGAGACAAGAAGAUGCCAAGAAGAAGGCCGCAGGGUUACCGACACUGUCCGAGCAACUUGGUGAAAGGAUGACUAAUGGGAUCCGUGCUAGAAAACCAAGGGAAACUGAAGCUAGUGUAUCUUUUGAUGAUCCAAAUGUCGAAGAAGCGGCAAAAAACAUAUAUGCAAUGGCAUCUAAGCAGAGCACAGUGGGAGAGAGACAUCAUAACGGCUGGUCUCGGUAACCCUGAGCAUCCUCGUCGUGUAUGAGGAAUCUAGUCUAACGAACGAUGGAAGGAAAGAUUCAGACCACAGUGGGAAGGUCUGUACAAGAAACGUGAUCGAUACAAAGAAGAGUUGUCGAAUUAUUUUAACAAGGAGGCCAAUAAAGAGUUCAAAGACCUGAUGUCUCAAAUGCUAUCAAAUCCUCCUCCAAAAUUGAUCCACAUUCUCUACAGCCAUCAAGGGAUCCACGACCAUCAAAGAAAUCUAAAUUCCCUAUACCAAAAUUGGUGUCCACGUUCGAGAAAAAGAAGAGUAAAGCUACAACUGCUGGCACAACUCAAUUUAUGAAAGGGAUUGCACGGGACCUCACGUCACAUACUAUUGAUUUGGCCGAGUACGAGGAGUCUGCAAAAAAGGCUGAGGCAAUGGCCGCAAAGAUAAAGAUCCCAACUAAGGCAGAUUAUAAAAAUGUGCCUAAAUAUUUGUGCUGGGAAAUUGAAGAAGGUCCCAACUGGUAAAAGGAUGCAUGACUAGUACAUGCGGGCAUCAUCAGUUGGCAUUGACGCCAUUAGUGUACAUAUACCAGACCAUGCUUUUAUUGGUUCGGACCAAAAGGCCUUUGUUGCAUUUGAGGACAUGUGGUUAAUGAUGAACCUUCAGAGACUCGACGUGCAACUUGUGACUGUGUUUGCACUGUAAGUGUCGCUCAUACUUCCACAUAUAUGUGUUAUUAUUAGUGAGUUGUAUAAAUUUUUAAUAUCUGACAUGCACGUGUGACUUGUAGAAUGCAACGUGAUCAACAUGAGAUCCUUUACGGUACCAAGCCCAGUGCUAGUGCCGGUAAAAGGAUUGGGCAUCUCAACCCAAUACUGAUAUGCGAGGAAAGCCACACUUUCAGAAUCGGGAAAUACAACGAAGAGUUAAAGGUAAAGACGGACGAAGAAGUUGAGGAGCGUCUAAAGAUUAUGAAGAAGAAGAUUGAAACAAGUUUCGCCACCUACAUAGCAAACACAAUGAUUCAAUUUCAAGACAAGGAAGCCAUAAUGGCCCCGUACAACUUUAAGUAAGUGUGAUUUUGCAUAAAUAAGAUUAAUAAUUUCAAUACACAUGCAUCAAAAAUUUGCUUCGUACAGGGACCACUGGAUAUGCUUCCUCAUUUAUCCUAAGGUUGGAAAGGUGCUGGUGCUCGACUCCUUGAACUACGACCCUACGACCUAUGCAAAAUUCCUCAGUAUCUUAGAGCUGUAAGCCUUUUCUAUGCAUGCAUACUUAUAUCGAUGACAAUUUUAAAAUAACAUGGAGAUUUUGUUUGAGAUAACAGAUCAUUUAGGUAAUAUAAGUGGAAAGGUGGAAAGUACGACACGUCCAAAAAAUGCUUGCCACUAGACAUCCAUCUUCACUAGCCAGUAAGUAUGUGAAUUUAUGAAUACAUACCAUACACAAUGUCGCAACUAAAUAACCAAUCUCCCAUUAUGUAGUGCCACAAGCAACCAUAAGGAUCGAUCCUAUGUGGGUUCUAUGCGUGCGAGUUCAUGAGAAUGAAUGGACGAUACAUCACAAACCCUUGCAAGGUAUUAUUGGUAAUAGUCAUGUUUGUAUUUAUGUCAUUAAAGAUGCAAAUGUGUUAUCGAGUGUGAAUAGAUGAUGUUUAUAAACUUCCUUGACAGGAAUUUCAAAAAUAAAAUCCAGAGAACUUGACCGAAGGUGCAUUGUAUGGCAUAAUUGAAGACCUAUGCACAUUCGUAUUGAAAGAGGUCAUUCUCGCUGAAGGGAAAUGUCAUGAUGCUUGCAAUACAUUAGCUAUGCCAGAGUUUAGAAUACUAACAGAAGUUAGUAGACUAUCUCUUAGACGAGAUAGUUAUUAGAGCAUAGGUGAAAAUUUUUGAUGUAUAGAAUGUGUGAAGCAUAUAUGGUUGUAAACAUAAGACUUUGAUGUAUAGAAUGUAUGAUAAAAUGUAAUUCCAUGUUGCUUUCAAUAUGUGUGUGUGUGUAAAUAAAUAUAAAAAUCAGUUUUGUUUGAAAAUUUAAAAAAAGUCGGGAAAACUUAUACUGGCGAGAAAUGUUAAGGAAACCGACAGUGAAAAUAACAUUUCCGCUCGCGGUUUUAUUAAGCAAACCGCCCGUGAAAUAACUUUUGCACUGGCGAUUUCCACUCGCGGUUUUAUUAAGCAAACCACAAGUGGAAAUAACAUUUCCACUAGCGGCUUUAUUAAGCAAACCGCCUGGCGGCUUUAUUAAGCAAACCGCUAGUGGAAAUAAACUUCCACUGGCGGUUUACUUAAUACAUCCGCUAGUGGAAAUGCUAUUUUCACUAGCCGCUGCAAAACAACCGCCAGUGAAAACGCCGAUUUCCACUAGCCCGUAGCACGAGUGGCACUGGAAAAUGCUAGUGCAAAUAGCUCUAAGACCGCCACUAUAGAGCUUCUGUGUACUAGUGCAAUCUGACCACUAAAUAUUUACUACAAGACUGAUUUAAGCACCUACUAGCAAAAAUACGUGCCUAACUACAAAUAAGAAAGUAGUAGCAUGUAUAUGUAUCUCUAAAUAUAUAUAAACACGUCGACUAUUUGGUUUACAUUGCAUCAUCUCGGUGAUAAUAAUAUAUGUAUUAUUAUACACAAGGUGACAAAUAUUGAUAGUCGUCAAUGCUACUGUUGCAUAGUGGUUAUCUAAUAAAUACUGGUUUUGAUAUAAUAAAUCAAUGUGUUUUGAUAUAAUCCAUUGUGUGACGUUGCUAUACAUGUGAUUCUCAUCCGAUUUCAUGUAUAGUGGAACAUCUGGUUUUGUCCUUAGAACCGGGUGUGACUGUUUAGCGAUGGUACUUACAACCACCAUCUUUAUAGGUUGCUAAAGGUCUUUAUUUACAUCUGUAGGAUGCUGAAGGUGCAUUUAGCAACCAACAUGAAGUAGGUCUUUUUCUGUUAUUAUUUGAGCACUGUGUGAUGAUGUCCAACUAUAUAAUUGUUGUGUGACACGAACACGGUUCGCAUUCGGUUUGCCUUCUAAAACCGGGUGUGAUAGUACCGUCGUGUAUUGAUUUUUAACGCACAUAUGAAUAUUGUGCCUACUUUUUGCGUUUUGACAUUGUGGUUUGGUAGCAACGGUGCAUAAUUAUAUAUGAAGUAUAGUUUUGGGAGGCUUUAUCAAAUCCUAACUUUCAUGUGGUUUUUAUGUAAAUCUUGGUGAACUAUAUGGUAUAAGCCCAAAUAAUACUCGUUAUUAAAAUUGGAAUGCAUCAAAGUGCCAAACAUUGGACCGUAAGUAAGGAAUUAGUCGUUACUAUAUAUUGCAUAUGUACCUUGUCCAUGUUUAUUACUCGUGUGCUCGAAAGCGGUGGUCCAUUGACGGGUGGAUUGUAUUGAAAAUUGCGGCAACAUUAAUCGAUGGAAGGAACGGUGGAUACUACAAGUAUUAGGAAGCAUUGCCAUAAGUGUGACAUGUAGACCUUCAAGAUUUCGCAUAACAUAAUGGCCUUUAAAAAAGACUAUAAUAUAUAACCACAUCUGUAGACAAUCGAUAAUAAACACGAGACAUAUAAUUAUUUAUUAUUAAAUAUAUUGAUUAACACAAUCACUGAAGUACAAGUAGAGCCAUCACACACGUACAUAUUUUAAACCAGCCAUGCAAGUAACUUUAGAUAUCACACUCGCUCGCAUUAUUGAAAUCAAAUUUGUGCGUAAUCCAUCAAGGCGUAAUAAAAUUGAAGGCUUGGCAUUGUGGCACAAUCUAGCCAAUAUAUGGUGCUGGGUUAACCACAACAGCCUGACCAUUGACGAUGUCGUUGUAGAUACAAACACGUACGGUACCAUCUUGGAGUGGAGACGGGACCCCAUCUGGAGGGAGUACUCGAACUUCGGUUAUAUUGGGAUUAUCUUGACGGAUAAUGUUAACCGCAUCUACAACGGGGUAGCCAACCAGAUCAGGCCAUGUUUGGGUCGUUAUACCAAGCUUGACGACCUCCAUCAAUCAAUCAGAUAGUGUCCUUCUGAAACUGUUAUAAUUGCCAACAAGCAUCAAUAAUCAAGGAAAACUGACAUAGUGUAAACAAACACAUUAUUUUAAAAACAUAACGGCAUCGAUCAUAUAUAUGGCAUGCUUGAGCAUGUUGGUAAAUACCUACGUACCUGCAAAGAAGAAACUAGUAGCCUGUAUAAGGAGAGAAUAGGAGAUGGUAGGUGCUCUAUGUAUGUCUAUGCAUGUAUAUAUAUACACACGGUGACUAUUUGGAUUGCAUGCAUCCUCUCGGUGAUAACAAUGGAUGUAUUUUAUGGACCCGUUCAUAUUGCUACCGAUUUUAAUACUCAGCUCGUCGAUGAUAACGGUGCAUCCAUUUUUCUUCUUUUACUUAGUAAACAUCGUCGGCACAUGUUGUGGUUAAUUAACAGCAUCAUCUUCUCGAUCUAAUUGUGGAUUGUGCUGCUCCUGCUUGUUAUUAGCUGGCAGUACAGCCCUUUGUUUACACGGUACUAGCACAGUACGUACUUGGCUGGUACCAAAACGUUGGACGGAACCGAGUCACGCAUGAAGGACGGAACAGUCAGCAGUCACCGCCAUGGCAUGCAUGUCUGUUAUCUGUAGCGCACGAUGACAUCAGAAGCGGAACCAACUUCUUUGCAAGGCAACGAACCAAAGGCACCAUCUCCUAUUUGUUUGGUUCAGUAAUCAAUAGCGUAUUCCUUUUAGAGAGGCAGAAGAAAGGAGUGGAGGGAUGAAGGCAACGAACCAAUGAAGUCGCGUGGGCCGCGGGAACGAGAUUGUAAAUUUUCAACAGCUGUUCCGUUCGUGUAAUCAACUGGUGAAAAAUAUUUGCACUAGAUCCACUUGUGUAGUAGCCUAUGCAUAUUUAAGUCUAUUUUAUGUUUUCUUUUUCUCCUUUUCCUUUUAUUGUGCAAUGUGACAUGUUUUUUAUGUAUCGUUACAUGAAUUUUUGAAAGUUUAAGUACCUACUCAGGAUUUUUGUAGACUCUCCGUCUUUCGGUACCAUGUUAUUAUUCAUUUGGCAAUAUUUGUAACACCAUUUCUGCGAACACAAUAUUGACCUAUCCCUUUUGGUUCGGGUUGAUGAUUAGUGAUCGCCAACGGGUAGCACUCUAGAGUAGUCAGUGGACUAACUAGACUAUGAGAUUAUGUAUCUACAACCAUGUCGGUCGCAUUAGGGUGUGCAGGUGUGGAGCACAGGGGCGGUGGUCGACGACGAAGGUAAAAGUCAUGUGGGUUCGUGCUGAUGUACCGGGAGUGGUGAAAGACAGACGAUGUGACUUGACUUAGGGACCAGAGUCGCUAGGUGACCAACCGUGGUGGCUGACACCUGGGUCACGCACUCGCGUUAGGACGUGGCGUAGCGGGCUGUGUUGCCGAGACAGUCUAGGACUAGCGGAACACAUGUCCAAUAUGUGGGGGACGCGCAUGCGGUGCGAUACUCACGAAGGUUUGGUGGUUGAGCCUCAAAACGAACAUGCGCUACAGAUGGCCGGGUUUGCCGAGUGUCGGUCUGGCAACACUCGACAAAGUAGCUUCUUUGCCGAGUGCCAACGCCUGGCGCUCCGCAAAGUUAACGGUCGUCAGCUAUAGACAACUGCUGACGGUCCUUUGACGCUAGCGUCGCUGUGUGUCGAGUGUUUGGCACUCGGCAAAGAGGUCUUUGCCGAGUGUAUUCCUAUGCCGAGCGUCCUACUCUCGGUAAACGUGGUCGUUACCAAGAGUAGGACUUUGCCGAGUGCAGCGCUCGGCAAAGAAUUCUUUGCCGAGUGCCUGAAAAAAUGUACUCAGCAAAGACUCGAGCACUCGACAAACAGCCGGGUUCCGGUAGUGCAUUUAGAUACGCUACUAUAGAAAAGGUUUCUACCAACACUAGAUUUACCACUGCAUGCCUUUGUGAAAACUAAAUAUAAAUAAUUUCAACAACUAUUUGCAGUAGCAUACAAUGAUGGAAAUCAUUCUUAUUUUAAGUCUGGGCCAUUAUAUGAUUGGUUGCGACAACAUAUUUUACGUCUUGGCGAGGGGUUAAGGAUAACAAGGUGACCCCACAAGCCAGGGACCGAGCGUGAGGGUGUGCGUGAAGGCGGCUAACGAGGAAGUCCCACCUAUCAGCAGUUACGAGAGGGUGAAAUCGACGCCGCGCUGCUGCACCUAAUGGGGUGGUCCCGCCUGUCAGUGAUUAAAGAGAGCGGUUAUGCUGGUAUGCUGUGCUUCCUAGGCCGAAAGCCACUUGGCCAGCUUAGGGGCACUAUUUUAUCUUUAAAAUUUAUGAGAAAGAGAUUUUGAGUUUAAAAUUCAAAUUCAAAUGCAAAUGACUUCAUAUAAAUUUGAAACAUUGUUAGAAAUUCGUUUAUGGCCAUAGAAACAUCUUGGCAAAUUAUGAAGACAUAUAUUUUUAUAAAUAAUUAAUGCACAAAAAUUAAUUCCCCGUGUUCUCCUUAAUUAUUGGACAAGAGAGUCACAUGUGAUAAAAAUUUCAAAAUCCUUAAAAUUCUUGAUAUCGGUUUGUAUGAUUACAAUAAACUUUACACAUAACAAAGGUAGGGUUGUCGAGUACUCAGGAACCGAGUACCCAAAAUAGGCCGAUGGACUCUUUAAAUAUGGCCCACUAGCCGACCAAACCUAUGUCGAGCAACCAUGCGAGGCGGAACGACCGACCAAGUCCCUGCUGAGCAACUAUGCAAGGCAAAGCCACAGGUCCUCGCCAAGCAACUCGGCGAGGUAGAGCAACCGACCAGGUCCCCGCCCAGUAACGCUCCGAGGCGGAUGUUGGGGCGAAGGCGAAGACGCUACCCUUCGCUCGAUGCCUUCGCCAAUCUCGCUGCACCAACGGAGACAAGACGACUGGCAGUCUCCACUCUUCAUCCAAUACGCUGCAAGACGAAGGCCUACGACGAGGUCGCUCUGUCUCGCGGCCUCAUCCAACGCGAAGGCCCACGUAGAAUUCGGCCCAUUGUAAUAGGCCCCGCGCGGCUGCUGCGUAUUACGGGCCCGGUUUGUGAAGGCUUUUCUGUAAUGACAGUUUGUAACCCUACUUUAUGGGAAUAUUCCAGGGAUGACCUAGGCGCCUGAAUGCACAUGCGUCCUUAAUCCAUGAUGCUGGGCACUCAGGCACCUAUAAAUACCCCCGCAAAGUGCCCUUGAGAGGCUAGAUUAAUAGAGCAAUUGCCUUCUUGAGCUAAAACCUGGUUCGCUUUACUUUCACUCCCCCGUUGGAUCAUCUUGCUCGGGAGAGCGAGUUCCAACAUUUGGCGCCCACCGUUCGUGCUACGAAAAACCAUCCGCGAUGGCACCCAAGAGAGCUAGCUCGAAGGCAGCCCCAUCCGUUGACGAAGCUGCGAAGGCAGCGCUGCUGGCUGAGAAAAAGGGCAAGGCCCUUGUCGACACCCCCCACCAAGAAGCCUGCGAAGACGACGCACUCAGCAAGAGGCAGCGCAAUGAACAACCCACACCCGAAGGCAGUCUUCGCACCUGCAGCUCCAGAGGACAACCGCAACCUCCCCCAGGCUUCGCUCCACCAGAGGGCGCGGACGCCACCGAGGACGGCGAAGUCAUCGGCGUCUCAGCAGAGGAACAACUACAGCUGCGUGCCUUGCGCAUCAAGAACCGCAACCUGCAGAAGCAAAAAGAGAUCCUCGAGGCCAAGCGCCAACGUGUGUCUGCGCAAGCCAAGGUGCGCCAGAUGAUACGCGACGAAGAGCAAAAGGCUCAGGAGCUUGAGCAGGAGAUCGCGCUCAUGCAGCGCGAAGGCCAACUCGGUCUGCAACACGGCCCACCCCUCCAACAGCGCGCGCAAAUCGAAGACCUGUUCAUCCCUCAGCACAGACACGCCAUCCCGCACGCCGCAGCAUUCCAAGGUGUCAACUACCUUGACGAGCGGAGUCCCCUGGCGCCCCACCUGCAAGUGUCACCAUGGCUCGCCAACUUCAGGGCAGGGACCUAUCCCAAGUACAACGGCAGCACUGACCCAACACAGUAUAUCAUGAGCUAUCAGGUCGUCGUUGCAUCAUCCGGAGGGGACGACGCCACGAUGGACAAGUCAUUCAUCAUCGCCCUCGAAGGCCCGGCCCUCACCUGGUACAACAGGUUGCCCCCGUUGUCCAUCGACUCCUGGAGAAGUCUUCGGGACAAAUUCCUGCUCAACUUCCAAGGGUACCGCCCAGACACCGACGCCUUGGCUGAACUUUCACUCUGCAAGCAGCUGGAAAGGGAAACUCUGCGGGAGUACUACCGCAAGUUUCUAACUCUCAAGUCACAACUGCAUUCGGUUGAUGACAAAAUCGCCAUUCAUUACGCCAUCAGUGGCCUUCGGGUUGGUGUCCUUUACAGCCACUGCAUCAGAGAUCCACCCUGGAAUCUCCAGGAGAUGUAUCAGCUAUUCAAAAAAUACGCCAAAUCUGAAGAGCUCCACCAGUGCAAAGUCGAGUCUCAGAGGAAACCUAAAGACCCUCCGUAGUCCGGCCAUACGUGGACAAGGCCUUCGCAGACAGACUUUGGUCGGGACAGCCACAGUAUCCCCCCAGGGCCACGGAAACGGAACUCGUGGUCAGGGCCGGGGACGUGCGCAGCAGCCGCGCAGAUUUUACUGCUUGUUCCACGGCGAAGACUGCGCGCACCCUACAAGAGACUGCCCAGAGACGAAGGCCACUAGAGACAGGAUGGCACGGGCACAACCAGCCGACAACCCUAGAGUUGUCGCGCACACAUAUCAACAACCCCCUCAGCCAUACAACCACGGCCCCGCUUCGCAUCCACCGCACCACGCAUACCAACACCGCCAUGAGGUAGAAAUCGUACCUCCCCCACCCCCACCUCCACAUCUGCAACAGCAAAACAUCCACCACCACCAGCCCGAAGCCCCGAAGCAAGAAGACUUCGCCGAUCAGCCGUUUUGUGGAGUCAUUCACAUGAUCACUGGGGGGUCCAGCGUCGACUUCGACACGAAGCGACAGAAGAGGGACCACUACCGCAGCAUCAACCACAUCGCCGUCACUGGUCCAGUCGUGCAGACAAAGUGGUCCCAUGUGCCAUUGACCUUCGACGCCCGAGACGUCGACCUGCGCAGCGCACCCCACAUCGAUGCCAUGGUUAUCAACUGCAGCGUGGCAGGCUGGGACCCGCACAAAGUCUUAGUCGACAAUGGCAGCCAGGCGGAUAUCAUUUUCCUCCAUGCCUUCGACCGCAUGGGCAUCAGCCACAACUUGCUUAAGCCUUCGGACAACCCACUGUAUGGCUUCGGCGGCAAGGGCACCUUUCCUGUCGGCAAAAUAGAGUUACCCCUCUCCUUCGGUGUAGCACCCAAUGCACGAAGCGAGCAAGUCACAUUCUACAUCGUCGACAUGGUGUACCCAUACAAUGCCAUAAUGGGUCGGGGCUCCAUCAACAAGUUUGAGGCAGCCAUUCACGGACUUUACCUGUGCAUGAAGAUCCCAGGUCCGCAAGGCGCGAUCACAGUCUAUGGCAACCAGCAGGCCGCGCGCAACAUAGAAAGAGACUUCGUUCCUCGGCAAAGGAACGUACACUGCCUCACGGCCCAGCGCGAGGUCCCCGAGUCUGCCAGCCCAACCGCUAAAGAACAUGACAAGGCACAGCUGCAGAGCAACGAUGGGACCAAGACUGUUCCCCUCGACCAGGCAACGCCCAAGCAAACGGUCACCAUCAGCGAAGACCUCACUUCGCAUGACGAGGAGAGACUCCUCUGCUGUCUGUCCAAAAAUAAAGACGUCUUCGCCUGGUCCGCCCUUGACCUGGUCGAAGUCAGUCACUCCAUCAUCGAGCACAGCUUGGGAAUCGACCCUUCGGUGAGGCCGAAGAAACAGCGGCUGCUAUCACACCCGGUUUUGGAAGGCAAACCGAAUGCGAACCAUGUACGUGCCAGGAUCAGCAAUUCACGUACACAGCAGUUACAUAACCGGACAUCAUCACACAGUGCUCGAAUAAUAACAUAAAAGAAAGUAAUAGUCGAUUACAUCAUGAUGUCCGAGACAUCCACAUAGUCUUUAACAAUAAUCAAAGUGCGAAAACGAAACAUAGAUACACGCGGCCUCCACAGGUAGCCGACUGGGGGGUUGCCGCUAACCCACGCCUAAAACUUGUCGUAAUCUUGGAACUCCUGGAAGUCUUCCUCCACGGCUUCAUCUUCUCCUGAGCAGUGGCUGCAAUGCGGACAACCUGGGGGGGCUUGGUGUGUAGAGCA
rnacentral:lncRNA from 1 species